CUGUGAUGCAGUAACUCUGUUUGCUUUUGAAAUUAUCAAUUGUCUGCAAGGAAAAUCAAGUAAGCAUAUUAGAUUUCUGGAUAUUUUCUCUGUAUAUAUAUAUAUAUAUAUAUAUAUUUUUUUUUUUUUUGGUCUAGAUUAAGAUAUGACCUUACUAUGUCGGUAAUCCAUUGUAUAUUUCCUUGUAGACAAUAUUUUUGACUGUCAUGUCUGCAUCGUUGUCGGGUUUUAGUAUAGUAAGACCUUCCGGAGAUGUUACACGUGAAAGCGCUACAUACAGUUGACCGUGGCUAAAAACUGGUUGAGGUAGAUAGAGCAUCACCGAUUUUAAACUCUGUCCCUGGCUUUUAUUGAUUGUCAUUGCAUAGCAUACUCUUAUUGGAAAUUGACGUCUUCUUAGUGUGAAAGGAUGCUUUGAAUCAAGUGGUGAUAAAAUUAUCCUUGGUAGAAUAACUUUUUUCCCAGCAUGUGUGCCUGUUACUAUUUCGGCCUCUAUCAAUCUAUUUCCCAGUCGAGUUAUAAUAAAUCUUGUACCAUUGCACAGACCUUCCUUUUGAUUAAUGUUGCGAAGCAGCAUUAUUGGAACUCCUACUUUCAAAGACAAUAUAUGUUUUGGUAGUCCUGAAAACUCCAAAGAGUUUAAGUAUUCAACCGUAUAUAGAGACUCGUGAUUUGUAGGUAUUGUGUCAGCCUUGCCUAUGCUGUCUGAGCUCAAAUAUUCUUUUGAUAUUCCUUGCUUUUUUUCCAACAUGUAUGCGUUAAUCUCAUCAACCGUCUCAUUUCGUGGAGUUAGAAUAGCUCUCUCGGUAAUACUUGCUUUUGUACUUGCUGAUAGAAUAUUUUCUCUGCUGGUGGCUUCGAAUAUAUCCUGCAAAUGAUUUCCAGAUGAUUGCAUUAAGAAUUUGGGAUUAAACUCGACCAUUUGACCAUCGUCUUCGUUGGCUGCUCUUUCUUCGUUUGUAGGUUCAGCUCCAUCUCCUACACUUAGCAGCCAUUCCGCAAAGCUUUCUUGUGAUUCAUCAAGUCUCAUGUUCUGUUUGAGAUCGAAGACGUUGCAGAAGUCCCACAAGUGUGACUGUUUUAUUGAUGCUAAAACUGCAUCAGCUCUAGAACCUUGUGGAAUUAUCGGUAGCGUUUGCCUGAAGUCUCCACCUAAUAGUACAGUUUUGCCUCCAAAAGGUUGGUCUUUAACUUUUGGAUCUUUAAUGGACAUCAAAUCUCGCAGUGUUCUGUCAAGGGCUUCAAAUGCAUGCCGAUUUGUCAUAGGUGCCUCGUCCCAUAUAAUUAGAUCAGUCUUUUCAAUUAGUUCAGAAAGCAUUGUUCCUGGAAAUAUAUGACAUACUGAAUCUUCAUUGAGAUUCAUGGGUAUCUUAAAGCGGGAAUGUGCUGUCCUUCCUGCAGGUAAAAGCAAUGCUGCGAUGCCAGAGGAAGCAACUGGGAGCACAAUUUUUUUUUCUGAUCGCAACUUAGAAAUAAUGGUGUUGUAAAGGUAUGUCUUCCCUGUUCCACCAGGACCGUAUAGAAAAAAUAGUUUACCCAAACCAUUUUCAACUGACUCCAUAACUGCAUCAUAAACUUUUCUUUGCUGCACAUUUAGACAGCUGAAUCGCUUGCUAUGUUCCUCUUUUUCCUGAUGUACAUUGUAUUGUAACUCUUGGGUUAGCAGCGUGUUACCUAGUUCUUUCAGAACUGUUUGAUCAGGUUUUGGCAUAUCUUUGAACUCAUCUAGUGACCUUUCAUGCUGGUGCAUCACCUUCUCUAUCUCCAUCAAAGUAUAUUGCUUGAUCUCAUAUUCAUUUAGCUGUAGUUUUGGAAAGCCAAAAGUUUUGCGUUUUCUGUUAAGCAUGUCUUCACCUAGUGAUUUCCAACAUCGAUUCCAUAAACUAAGAGGACUGCCUACUUCACAAUAUAUCAGCAGUAAAACAAAUAGUUGCCGUAGCUGAUAAGGUGUACCCCAUCGAAUAGCUUCAUCCAUAGCAUCAUGCCAUUCAAUGUCAGAAUCUAAUAGACCUCUAGCAUAGCAUGCUGAUUUGUAAUCUGGAUAUAUUUUUCCCUCAAAUGUUAGGAUUUCCUCAAAACUUCGUGGUCCUCUUAAUUUGUUGAUGAGUAUCCUUAAAUAAUAUAAUUGUCCUGAAGAUGGAUGAAUGUUGAUUAUUCUUCCUAUCAUUCCUCCUUGUUGUCUCUCACUCCAGAUUUUACUCUCGCUGUUCCAUGUAAAUUUUGUUGGAAAUUCCAAAUAAGUUAGUUGGCGAGCCUCUUCAGAUUCUAUAUUUUUCUCCAUCCAUGCUGUAAACAUUGUUCUCUCAAUAUCUUCUUUUGAUAGAACUUUUCUGAGAUCAUCUUUAGCUCUGUAUCUUAUGUGGUGUUGUCCAGGAAGAUGGAUUAUAAGUUUUUGAACUGCAGGCUUACGUUGAUGAAUGUGGAAGGAAAAAGUCCUCCACGUGGCUUCACAAGCAGAUACAUAUCGGCAUUCAAGGUACUCUUGUAUCUCAUCUCUUGGUCUUUUCGUUGAUACACUAUCUUGUGUGUGUUUUGAAGCCUCGGGACCUUUUUCUAUCACAAUGGUAGCUUUGUCGACUCCUUUUGUAAUGUAUUUGAAAAGAUACUUGACAGCAUUUGUUCUGUUGCACCACUCCACGUUUAUAUGAGCUUGAUAUUUUUUUAAUAUAUAAAAUUAUAAAUAAAAAUACAUAAUUAAAAAUAUUAAAUUACAAGUAAAAUACCACAUUAUCCCAUAAAUUAUUUCUGUAAUGCUGCAUCUUCGGUUGCACAAAAUUUUUUUGAAUAUUAUAGAGAUUUGGAGGUUCCGGAGAAAAUUUACCAGACAAUUAGUGAUGUAGUAAUAUUUAAAUUUGUGUUAUAAAUAUUUCUUCACUAUCUUUUAAAAUAUAAUUUUUAAUUAAGUUUCUUUUGUGAUACUCUUGUUUUCAGUAAAAUAUUACAGUAAUAUUAAUUCAUAAAAUCUUACACUAAAAUAUUUAUAAAUCUUAUUUUAAAAAACAGAUUUAAAAUAUAUGAGAUAUAAAAAUUUUAAUGAUUAAAACGAUAAGCGAAAAAAUGCUUAAUAAUUAUAUAUGUGAUUUAUAAUUAAUUAUAAUGACCAAAAUGCAAAUAAAAAGAUGAAACUUCAAAUAUGCUCUUCAGAACUCUAAAUUUGAAGUUUUGAAGUUUUUUUUGGGAAAACAAAAAACUCUAUAUCUAAAGUUAGCUUGGAAGGGGGUUUUACGUUAAUUACAGUUCGUUUAGAGUUUUUAAUGUUACAUACUUUGGAGGUUUUUAUCCGUUAAAAAUCCCUUAUAUUAAAGAAACUGCUGGUUUAUUUUUUACCUUUACGUAUUGGUGAAAGUGCAUAUGUAUAUAUGUAUGUAUAUAUGCUAAUAGAAAAGUUAGAUAGAGCCUGAAGUAGGAGGAAAAGAAAAGUAAAGGGUUAGGUCAAAAGGAAAGGCUGUGAGUUUUAAAUGUAAUACUAUCAACGGUAACAAAUGUGCGUGUGUGUAUGUAUGUGUUUGUCUUCUUCUUUCUUUGUAAGGUUUUGGCAUUGAACGCAAAACUAAAUUAUUUGUGGUGGUAGGAAUGGUUAAUCGAAAGUGAGAACAUGCCUAUACCUAGCUCUCCCUCUUUUCCUCUCAUCUAAAUUUUCACCUUUUGUCUCCACCUUAGUAACUAUUAUUCUUAUCUAUAAUCUUCUACAAAAUAAACCAUCUUUUCUAGUUGUUUCACUAAAAUAUAUCUUGACCUUUUUGCAUACUACAAAUUAUAAAAUUUGUUCCUGAGCUUAAAAAUGCAUCACAAAAAGAAAAACUUAUCUGUAAACCCUUUGGUCAAAAAAGAGAGAAAAAUAUAGAGGUUCGAUUUAAAUUUACACAUUAGUUCAAUCUUCCUGUACAUUUAAUCCGAAAAGUAGAAUGUCUAUGACCUAACCUAAGUGAAGAUUUUUGGUGGUGGGAGUGGGAAACACACUUCAUUGAACCUUUUGUAACACUAUUUAAAUUUGUGGUCUGUUAGAAGAAUAAUGGACUUCAGUUUUAAUCUUAGUUUCAUUUAGGAUGUAUAUAUGGAUUCUCUUUGUUUUUGGGUCAAGCUUCCAAAGAAGAAAGUGACAAACAACAGAGGACGUAUAACUAGACACUGUAUAUACUGAAUCUCAACAGUAUAGACUUUGGAGGGUUGUGGACAAAAAGGAAAUAGUACUCAUGGAUAGAACAGAGCAUAAUUUUACUAGUGACAAGGGAGUGACACUAACGCUUCUUUUUGGACUCUUCUGCAACAUUUUGGGAGAGGGGAGGGGGGGGAGAGAUUAGUAUCUACUAUAUAUCAACAAAACCAGUAAUGGUCCAAAUGGCUUGUCUUUUCUUUAUGAUGAAUAUAUUUUAUUCAAUUUAGAGACAUUAAUCAAGCCAUUCAAACAAACUUAGACCUCUGUACUGGAAACAUGGCAAACUCUUGCACAGUACAAAAGGAGAUUGUCAUUGACAUUGUCAAACAAAAAAGUUUAUUCCAUGUAUGUUGCAAAAGGGUUUUGAUCAUUAUCAAGUAUAAAAAAAUGAUGUAAUUGUAUGGUUUCAUCCACAUGAAUCCAUAUUACCAUUUUUUUGUAAACAUCUCUUAAAUGGGUUUUAUGAUAUGUCAAAUGAUCAUUUUUCCACAUUGUCCAAUACCUGUAACAACACAAUCAUUAACUUAACCAGUUAAAUCUAAAGCAAGAGAGGUUAUAUGGAGAUUAAGUGUUUAUAUUAACUUAACCAGUUUGAGAUGUCAAAAAAAGGCCAACCGAAACAACAUGUUCAAUUACUUCUAGUCAACCAAAUUAUAGUUCUUUUACAUGCACCCUAAUUGUAGACGACUAUUUUAUCUGCCUGUUAGGCUCUAACGACAAUUUAAUUUUAUGAUUUUAAUAAAAAGAGAAAAUCGUAUCAAUUUACUUCCUCUGUUCCCGAAAGUAAGAUUUUCUAGAGUAUGCACGCUUAUUAAGAAUUUAAUAAAUGUUUAUAAUUUAAUUUAUUUUUACUUUAUUAUAUACUUUCUAAUAAUUUUCCACCAAUGAAAUUUAAUCAAUUCAAAUAUUCUCAAUUAAUGUUAUUCAAAAGUAUAAAAAAAUACUUUAACAAUAUAGAAAAUCUAUUUUUGUGGAACAAGAAAAAAAAAUCUAAAAUUUACUUUCGGAAACGGAGGGAGUACUAUUUUCCUAUAUUUCCAUGAUGUAGCGCAUUGGCAAACGACUGAAAAGAAAACUUAUGCCACAUUUCUUUUUAACUCGGGAGGUUGUUUUAUCAUCUUUAUUAUGGCUAUCAUGCCCAAGAACAAAAGAGGAGAAUUACAAAGACGAGCCUAACAAGCCCAACCAAACAUUAAAAACAAAGCAAAUUACAAGGGUAGUCCAACAGGAAGGCUCAGCCGGAGGAAAUCGUAGAGAAGAACCAGCUAAUGAUCCAGGUCGGCACCACGUGUUCGGACGAAAACGUAGAGGAAAUACGAGAUGAGAGAGCAAAUCAUCGCCUCCCAACACCGACUGGAAAGGUGUCGUCAAGUCUACGCGGCAGCCACUGGGAACACACCGGGACAUGAUGUACUGUGUAAACCCAAAUAGCAACGAGGCAAGCAGAAAAUUGGGGCAAGAAACGCCAUUGCUUCAUGUAUGAAAGAGAUUCAGCCGCAUGCAAUCGAUCAAAAUCAUCAUAUAUUCCUAAUCAACAGCGGAUCAUCUUAAAUGAUACUCCCUCCAUUUUAUUUUGAGUGUCGUUUUAGAUUUAUGCACACAGAUUAAAAACACAUUUAAUUUUAUACAUUUUCAGUAUAAAAACAUCAUUACCAAUAUACCUAACCAUAUUUCAAUCAAUUGAAGAAUAAACUAGAAAUUAAAGUUCAUAAAUUUUGUCUUGAAAUUCUGAAACACACUUAUUUUGUAAUAAUUUUUUUUCUCUACAAUGACAACUGAUUUGAAACGGAGAGAGUAUAUAGCUAAGACCAAAGAUGAACCAAUCCUAAUAAUAGAAAGGAAAAGACAAAUCUGAUUCGAAGAUCAAAACUCGACUAAAUCUAGAACAUAAAUAUAGAGGCGAAGAUCGAAAAAACAUAGGAGAAGAAACAUAAAACAAAACUAGGGUAACUCGGAGAGCAGUAGGCCGUCAACACCGGAAGAAAAGGUGUGACGCCAGCGCUAAGAGCAAACCGACAUCGCCGGCGAGAAAAGUGAGUCGCUAGAGCCAAGUACCAGCCAUCGGUGCUCAAGAGCCAUCGCAAAGUCAAAUAAUAGACUUGAAUUUCAGACUUUGGUUAUCACCAGAAACGAGAUCGACGAGAAAAGCGAAUCUCUCUCUCUAAAAAGUUUUAAGAGAGAAGAGAGAGAAAACCCUGCUCCUUUUAAUAUUUAUUCUGGCGUUCUAACCGAUUUAUUAGUAAUACAUGUAUCAAAUCUAAAGUGUGCAUCAAAUGAAAUUAGUCUUAUUUUUCUUAACAAAAUUCAAUCAUUUAUCUUUAUGGGGAUUGCACUUUAAGAUAUAGCUUCAGUUUCUAGAUGGUUCAGAAAAUUACGCAUGUUGUACUAAUUUAUAUUGAAAAAAGCAGUUUGAAACUCAAUAUUUGUAUUCACACGUUAUGCUAAAACUACAGCCUUAAGAUUGGAAUGAUAUGGAACUAAUUAUCUGUAUAUCUGCAUGUCUGGAAUGAUGUAUAACUAUUGACUGUAACUAUCUCUUAGCGUGGAUUUGUAUAUUUUAGAACAAAAAAAAACAAAAUUUGCGUGGCGUUAUGAAUAAUCAUUUUUAAAUUUCAAAUGAAAAUGCACAGUGACCUCGACAGUGUUAUUUUGAUAUAUCGAAUCAUCUGUGGUUUGUGUUUGUUCGACAUUGGCUGCGUAGUUACGCAUGGCUCGUCUUUUCAACAUACACUCUUGAGCUAAUCACUAUGAUUAUAAAAUGAGUUGAAUAAUAUAACACUGGGCUAUACCCUUUUCGCGGUCCUAUUUCCUCUCCUCAUUUCACGACUACAUGUGCCCUCAUAGAGACACUUGCUUUUGCAUUUUACUUUAUGUUAAUCUGAGCGAUAAAAGGCCUCUAAAGACCAAAUCCAAGCAAAUCCCUGAACAAAUGACCAAACAACAAUUUAGUUAAUAGUAUCUAGUUUCUGUUCACUCCCUCUAUGAGUUUACCAAAAAACAAACAUUUCUUUACACAAAACUAGUCUUAUUCACUUUGGGAUUGGUGAUGUGCUUAUUACUAUGUCGAGCUAUUCCUUAUACUAUAAAUUAAAUAAACAUAAUCUCUUCAAUUACAAGCAAUGUAUACUACUUUGUUAAUGUGCUACGUACACCAUUAAUUCAAGUUGCCUACUCAAAACUGUAGAACUUUCUCUUGAAUUUAUUAAGGGAAAAUUAGAAAUAUAGGACAUUUUGAACUUUGAUUUGUCACAAUAAGAUUUUGUCUAAGUUUUUUGUCCUAUUAAGAUUUUAAUUAAUGUUAAUACGAUUAUGCCCUUAGAUUAUUGAAAUUUUAAUUUAAUUAAAAUAUAGAAUGUUUAUUAAUUAUAUUUAUUUAUAAUUGUUUUUACAUUAGAGAUGGAAAGAAAAAUCAAAAGCAUUAUCAGUUACGUAAUUGUGUCUGUUUCAUUCUUUCUUCUUCCACAAUUCAAAGCACGACAUUUUUUCACAAAUACCUUUAUGAGGUUUCUGUUCUCAUCUUCUUCUUUAUCUUCUCAGAUUAUUGUCUUCAUCUUUACUUGAUAUCCUUCUUAGCCUCUUUGAUUUCACAUUGUGUCAUGUGAAGAUGGUUUAUAGCAUCUUCGAUUUUAUUUCGUAUUUGAUUUGAUGGGUGAUUUUCUUUUGUUCUUGAUUAGAUCCUUUGUUAAAGGCGGCCAUUAAAUCGGAGUCACCAAAAUUAUUCACGUUUUUAAGUUUUGAAAGCUUGAAAUUAGAAAAUACAUGCUAAAUCUACAAAUUUAAACCAUACCCAGCAAAAAAAAUGCAAAAAUAAUGGACGAAAUCAAUCAAAGAAAGCAUGGUGGCUCUGUAAAAAUAUCUCUGUAACCCUAAAAACUGUUAAGAAAGAUGAUGACUUAUUUACGGUUAUGCCAUUAAUGAAAAUAAACACUAAAAAGAACAAAAUGCGCUUCUUGGAGAUCGAACCUGACAACCAUGUAACAUAAACCUAUCCAAUUCCCAGUAGGCCCCAUCAAUAAAUAAUGUUCUCUAUACAAAUCACUAUGCAAUAUAAACAAUUUUCUGAAAAUUGAAAAAUGGUGUUUAAAAUUAAUCCCCGAUUAAUCGGUAUUUAGUAAAGAUAUUUAAAAAAAAUAUGGAACUUCCAGAUUUUUGGUUUAGACUAAAUUUAUUAAAGAUAUUAAAUAAAAUAUUCUUUGAGAGAUUUAUGAUGUUAUAUAGUUUAGAUUCAGGAAACAUCUUCAAUUGAAUAUGAAAGUUUCCAUAUUUUCCGGAUUUACCUCGAAUAUGUAUACUAGCUACGCAGAACAAAAUAUAGUAGGCGAGAAACAUAUUCUUCUUUAAGGCGUCAUAUAAGGUAAAAGGCAGAACAAGUUAUGUCACGUAAUAUAACCGACAUAUAUCAUUGAAUUGUGGCUAUAUAUCGUUAUCAAACUGUAGGUAGACCGAAAACAUCUUUCUUGAUUAUAACGUAAUCAAUUCUAUAUGUGCUAGAUUAUACAAGAAAUGUUAGUUUACAAUAUAUACCCUAGAUAUAUCUAUGUUUAAAACUUAGAAUCAGACAUAUAAACUAGGUAGAUUACUAAAAUGAAUUUUCUAACUGUACCUAGAAGAUAAAAUAAAAUAUGAUUCCAAUUUUUUUUUUUAAGUUUAAACAUAUAUAUUGUCAUACUUAUGUUUCCAACAUUUUUUAUAUUUUUUUACAUUUUUAAAAUUCAAUUUACUAUUUUUCUCAUUAAAAAAGGGUAAAACAUGUCCAAAAUUGUCAAAAGUAUGAGAAGUUUUAUUGUGACAGACAAAAGUUCAAAGUGUCCAAUUUUUUCAGUUUUUCCUUUUUUUAAUUUGUGUUCUAUAAGGCUGCAUCUAAAUUAUUGUUUUUUGUAACUUUUUACUGCAUUUAGCAUUACAUUGAGUUUAGUUGGAUCUUUUGUAUCAACAUUCGUUCGAUUUCUGUCUUUUAGGGCUUUCAUUUUUUCUACGGUUAUCUUUUUCUUUCUAAAAAUAAUAGUGACACAAACUUUUAGCAAAGAACUCUGCGUGUAGCGUGCAUAUCGGUCUAGCUACCUUAUAUGGUGUUAUAAGUUAGUGACUAUCUAUUGUAUGAACUAAAAUGUUUUCGGAUAAUACUUCUAAUGACGUUUAAACUACUAUGGUUCUUUCAGUCUUUUCGUGGAGGCAAUUGAACAAGAAAGACAAUGAGGAAGAAACAAAAAGUCACCAACAACAGAUCCUUAAUUCAUUUUUUUCUUGGAUAUCUAGGAUCUUCGACCGGAGAAGCACGAAAAUCACAAUAUAAUAUGUAAUAUUAGUUUUAUCAUAAAUAUCACCAAGUCUUAUAAUCUCUAAACUAUUUAUAGUAACUUUUUAGCUGAGAUAACAAUACUUGAUAGACCCAUAAUUCAUAUGACACCACUUUACCAACAAAAAAAACUUAUAAGAAGAUGGAGAGUUGGAGACAAAAGGCACCACACUCGUUUUUUUUUUGUAACUUAGGCUUUCGUAUAUUAAAACAGAAGAAGAAAAACGUUUUCAAGUCAUUAGGCUUUAGUUACAGGGCCAAACACAAUUAAAAUAGGAAUUCAUAUAUAGUAGUUACGGCACCAUCACUCGUUACCGUAAACAUUUUUUCAAAACAUUUUUUCUUCUCUACCAUUUCGGUAAGAGCCUGAUAUUAUAACAUUAUUACUUCCCUAUUUCUCCCAUUUCCUCCUUGAGGACCUUAACAAAACUAUACAAAAACAUAUCUCUAAUACCUCCUUUGCAAAAACCAUACUUUUUAAGCAAACCCUCCUUUUCAAACCCAGCUUUCUCCAAAACUUUCCGAGACGCUUCAUUCUCCACCUCAACCACCGCUUGUAGCCUCACCACGUCCGGAAAAAUCUCAAAAGCUUGUUCCACGGCCAUCCUCACCGCCGCCGUGGCUAUCCCCCGUCCCCAAAACUGUCUAGAGACGGCGUAUCCAAGGUCAGCUCGGCACCUACCAUCGCCAGUAUCAGGCCUGACGGAGACGCAACCUAUCGAACGACCGUCUUUGAGAAGACAAAUGGAACGGCGCCACGGGUGUGGUAUGGCCGUUUGAAGGAUGUGUUGUCGGGCUUCUUCCACGGUUUUAACGGAGGUCCAUCGAAGGUAACGUGUGACGUCAUCAUCACCGGCCCAUUUAAGAACGUCUUCGGCGUCUGAGAGAUCAAACGGACGGAGGAAGAUACUUGGUGACGUUUCCAUGGUUAUGGUUAUAAAAGCUGUGUAACUUGUAUCGCAAUUAAAUACUCUAAAACGAGCUAUACCAGAAAAUCUACAGAAAUAGUUAUAUUGGGUUUCAAAGCCCAUUAACAAUUUGGGCCUAUAUAAAUAGGUAAAUACAUAUAUUUAGGAGAUUUUCUUUUUUUUUUUUGUCGGGGAUUUAUUUAGAUAUUACAAUUAUGAGAAAGAUUUCAAAGACGAUUCGAUAACCGACAAUUCUACCUGCCUUAUGAGGAUCUACGCCUAACUGCAUCAUUUGAGCCGUCCUAUGAAGAUCACGCCUGACCGGAUUUAUUUGCACCAUGUUGAGAAAUCCUUGUAAGCCUUUCUUCUGUAAUCGCAUAAUUGUUGAAUAAAUCGCUUGCUCCGGGAAUUGAAACCUGGAUUUCCUGUGCAAUCUGCAAGAAAUUGCAUAGUCUGGGAUUUGAACCCUAGACCUGGGUGUAGAAACCUUUAAACCAUAACCACUAGGCNNNNNNNNNNNNNNNNNNNNNNNNNNNNNNNNNNNNNNNNNNNNNNNNNNNNNNNNNNNNNNNNNNNNNNNNNNNNNNNNNNNNNNNNNNNNNNNNNNNNGGUCGGGGCGGGUUGACCCGCGAACCCAGCUUUCUCCAACAAAAUAAAACAAAUUGGCAUUUUAAAAUAAUAACAAAUUGCUGUUGAAAUAAUAAUAAUAAUAAUCUAUAUAUUAUUUGUUAAUAAUAAUAAUAACAAAUUGUAUAUUUUGUUAUUGAUUUCAUUUGUGGACAUAUUUGACAAAGAACAACAGCAGGUGAGGUAUAUUCUGUUUCAACGUCCAAGUCAAUAUUAGACGAUAUUUAUAUUUUGUAAAAAUGUUAUUAGACUAUAUUUAUCAUUAGUAUCACUCAAAAUACAAAUUUAUUGUAUAUAGCGAUUUAUUUUGUUACAACGUAAAUAAUGUCUGAAACUUUAUAUAUUAUGGCAAUAAAAACGUUGGUAUCUAUCUAUCAAUCAAAUUUAAAACAUUGACAAAACACAUUAUGUGGAAAACACCGUGAACUAUUUGUUUGGGUUAAAAGAUUUUACACAAGAUAUAGGGAUCAAUUUACAGAAAAUACAAUUUCUUGUAAAUUACAAGAUUCAAGCCUUUUACAAGUUUAAAAAUGCUCAGAGCUGUUCAUAUUAUGGUAGUUUGCUGCAGAAAUUCACCAAGAAUGUUGUAAAUGUAGAGUUGUUUGUCAAUCCGAAUGUUAGGCGUUGUGAUGGUUUUUAUCACUUUCUCCAACAAAAAAUAAAACAUAUUGGCAUUUUAAAAUAAAACAAAUUGCAUAUUUUGUGGACAUAUUUGACAACGGAAAACAGCAGAUGAGGUAUGUUUUGCUUCAACGUCCAAGUCAAAAUUAGACGAUAUUUUUUUUCUUUUUUAAAAAAAAAUUAGACGAUAUUUAUUAUUAAUAUCAUUCAAAAUACAAAUUUAUUGUAUAAAAUAGCUAUUUAUUUUGUUACAACGCAAAUAAUGUCUGAAACUUUUGAUAUUAUGGCAAUGAACGUUGGUAAGUUUCUAUCAAUCUAAUUAAAAAAAUUGACAAAACACAUUAUGUGGAAGCGCCAUGAACGAUUAGUUAGGGUUAAAUGCUUAUACACAAGAUUUAUGAUUCGAUUUACAGAAAAUAUAAUUUCUGGUAAACUAUAAGAUUCAAGCUUUUCACAAGUUUCAAAAUGUUAAGGGCCGUUCAUAUGGGAAAUGGGCAUAUUUCGAUCCAAACAAUUUUACUCGUGCCAAAUACGACAAGAAAAAAUGAUCAAUGCUAAAUCCGACCUUAACUCAAUUAUAAUUCAAAAACUAGAUUCCGAUCCGUGCGUCCGCACAUGUGUUUUUUUCCAAUAGUUAUAUAAAUAUUUCAAAACACAGCUAUUUGAAGGUGGCAGAAGAUUAAGUUUUUGUGUGAAUACAUGUAUUUGGAAAUAUGAUUUAGCUCCAAAAGAUUUGACCUUUUUAAGUUAAAAUGACUAUAAUAUAUAGUUUUUAUUUAAUCAAAUUAAAUAUACUACCGCAACUAAUCUGUCUAUUAAGCAAAAAUUAGAGAUUGACCCACAUAUUCGUGCCAGUAUUUUUUUAAUUUAUAUACAUUAUUCUAUGUAAUUGGUCGUGUAAAUAAUUUAAAAUCUAAUAAUUUGAAAUGAACAUCUCCAAACUCAUAGUUUUAAAGCUUGCAUGUAAAAUUUUAAUUUAUUCCUUUGAAGCACAUAUUACAUUAGAUAGUUCCUAUUAUAUAUUUAUUUUAUUAAAAAUGCAUAGGAUUAGUUAGUUUAAAAAGAUACUCAUAAUAUAACAUGUUUAAAGAUUAUUGAAUAUUUACUUAUAAUUUUUAUAUUGUUAGUUAUUAUCAAACUGUUAUUUAUUAUUUCUACAAGUUUUAAUUAGCUUUUAAAAUUUGUGAUCAAAUACUCUUGUACACAGAUUUAUUUUCAAAAUUUGAUAUUAGCUUCUUUAUAUAUCAUCAAAAUGUUAGUCAAUUAUGUAGUGAUCUAUAUAUUAAUUAAUAUGCAAGACUUAAUUUAGAUUAUUAAAACAUAAAUUUAAAGUUCAUUUAAUUAAAUUAAAUUAUAUAUAGUUAUAUAUUUUUCUUUAUAUAUGUCAACAAAAGUUACAAAAGCUAUAAUAUGUAUUAAAAAGAAACAGGCUAACAAAACGUAAUAACUCGAAUGGACUUUAGAGUUUAGAGUAGAACUGGACCACACCCACCACUAACCAACAAACAGAUUAAUAAUAAGGGAAAAUACAAAAACUUAAAAUGUUGAUUCAAUUGGCACAUAACUUCCUCACCACUCUGAACUUCUAAGAAAUGGAAGCGUAUGAAUGAAACCAGUGGAAGUAAUCUCGAAGCAGUGUAAGUUAAGUAUGUUCCAAACUGGAUGACGACAUAAUGAAAGUAAGCAUCAGUAAGUCAGUCGUCCUCCAUUUGCAGUCUCCUGCAAAAAAUAUCAUAACUAAACCAUUUCAUUUAGACCAUAACUCGUUCAGAUCCGUAUGCAUGUAUGGCUAAUAAAAAUCCUUACCUUCUCGCUUAAACUCAUGGCCCCGAUUAUAAUCAUUGUUUCCUCGUGUGCCAGUUCAUCUCUCUUACCAGCCUAUGUUGGACAGAAACACCAUGCCAGUGGAAGCUAGAAAGAAAAAUACUUUCCAUAGUCAAGUAACUUACUAAGUGGGGGUUAUUGGUUCUAAUACUUUAGUGGAUUUAUAAUUUUUUUUGGAUUUAGAAAUCAUUGACAAAUCUCUUUAUUUUAAAAUCAAACAAACAGAUUUCAAAAUCAAUGAUAAAAAUUUCCAAAUCAAAAUAAGUUGAUUGUUAUAAAUGAAUGAAAUGGAUUUUCAAUUGAAGUAUAGGGCAUCUAAUUCAUCACUUGCAUGCGACAUUGGAAGAAACGUCAGUAAUAUCUCUCUUCACAAGAGACAAUCAGUCCACCAUUUCGGAAGAACACGGUUUCGUAACGAUACAAAGUUAACGCCGCCAUCCGAUUCUUGUGUCGGUACGGCGAGAAGUUAAAACACUCCAGCCAACUACGCUUAAACUCCUCUGCUCCGUUGAUGAAACGUCUGACGAACAAAGUUAUAGUCUUUUGUGAGAAAGGCACAUAAAUUGAAAAACAUAAGCAUCAACAUUCCAGCAGCUUUUAAAAUAGUGAAGAAACACCUCAGGAAAAACAAAUCCUUUUCGUCAACAACGGCUCCGCCGUCUUUUACUUCGGCAACGGAAAAAAAAAAUCGUCUAAAGCACGGAGACGCGACGACCCUCUUCUGCAACAACAAGAUAGCAUAAAAGUGCCAUCCUACACGAUAAUAUGAUAACUACAUAACCCCAGCUUCGUUUGUAUGUAUUUUACAAUAAGUUUGUGUGCAAGACAUGCCCCCGAUGCAAGUUCUGAGCAUGAACAAAAGACAUUAUAAUGAUGUUUAUAUCUGAUAUCAUUCAAAUUACCCUAAGGAGUGAUUUAUACUCUCCCAAAUAAGAGGUCGAGUUGUAGUACUUAGGGAUCGAAUUCACAGGGAGCUAGGGAACCAAAUAAAUCUAAUUAGUUUGAUUAAGCUAGGCUAAUAGGUUUAAAGCAGUAAAUAAAGAUAUGCAAAGCAGUAAACAGUAAACAAGUUGAACAAGACAAUUGUUCAGCUUGACAAAGAGUGUUUGAUGGAAGGAUGGUUACUAGACUUAGGGUUUCAUUCAGGUUAUUAGAACUCUAAACUAUAGAUGCUAAGGAUUGAUUCUAGAACUCGAUAUCUAAUGCAAAAGACAACCAGCUCUCACUGUGAGUCUAAUCUAUUGACUAAGUUCAGUGUUUCAGCUCUCGCAUGUUAACACAGAUCGAGCGUCGAUCGAUGCUAUGGUGUGAGCGUCGAUCGGUGCUACAGAUUGAGUGUCGAUCGAUGCUAUGGUAUAAGCGUCGAUCGAUGCUGCCUUAGGCAAGCGUUAUCGAUCUGAUCGAUUAUGUUCAACUAGAUUCCUAGACCAACUCUCGUAUGCGCCUAGGUAUCUAAUCCAGCAGGAUUCGGGUUCCGUUAAUUGAUUACACUCUCGUGCCUCUCAAUUAUCCUAUGAUUCUAGGUUCAAGCAAUUAGUCACACUCUCGUGGAUUUCCAACUACUCUAGAUCCUAGUAUUACAAGCCAUCCUGAUGUAGAGAUCUUUAGAUAUCCUAACAAUCAUAUAAUUCAGAAAUUCAUUCAAAACCCUAGAAAUUCCUAAACCUAACAGGUGGAUAUACUCAUGCAUGAUGUUUGUCACAGAAAUCAUAGAUGAAUAGAUGAAUAACAUAAAAUAUAAAUAAAACCAAAACAAUGGAGUUCCAAGAGGACUCUGAAGGAGUUCCAAGAGGACUCUGAAGGAGUUCCUCUCUUCUCUCCUAACCUAGAACUAUGAAUAAAAUAAUGCUUAGAUAACGUAACCGUUAACAAUGGCUUAUAAAUAACAUAAAUAGGGUUUCUGGUCGUCCAAGGGUAUUCUGGUAAUUUGGGGUUGCUUCUGGGCUUCAGCGGUCAUAAAUAAUGCUCAGCCCAUAUUCUGGCAUCACUGACGACAUCGAUGCUGUCGUCAGUGACCGACAGUCCUUCAUCUCCUCGACAGCUUCCUCUCGCGAGGCAGACUGACCACUCUUCAGUAAAACGGUCAUAACUUCUUCUACAUGAUGUUGAUUGACCUCAAACCGGUGGCAUUGGAAAGAUAAAUCAAAGCUAUAUCUUGUGUCAAAAGAUGAGCUCAAUCUAAAGGUCGGAAGGUCUCCAUCCAUAGCUAGACAUCUGACGCGUCUUUGCAGCUCUGCACUCAAAAGGCUCCAAAAGACACCAAAAUCACCACAUUCCUCCAAAUCGUCUCUGAACCUGUAAAUACUCUAAGGAGGUGUUAUUGGUUUAUCUAUUUUGAUUGAUUUAGAAAUCCAUGUAGUAUUUAUAAAUCCAAGUAAAAUAUGCAAAUCCGGAGGUUUUUCUUCGGAUUUGAGUCUUUGUGUUUUUAACUAAAAAAUCCAAACAAAUCCAUUCAAAUCCAUUAUAAAAUCAAAUAUAUUAGUAAAUCCUUACGAUUGAAUAACACUUGAUUUGAUAUAGAAUUUAUGAAUCAUUAAACCAAUAACACAUGAUUAUAAUACAGAUUUGAAAAUCAUAGAACCAAUAACACUAGAUUUAGUUAGAAUUUUCAAAUUCAUUAAAAUUCAACAACCAAUAACCCCUACUAAAUAGACUCUAUAUAGUAGUAAAUAUAUAUUAAAACACCUAUAGACCAUGGAUAGAAGUGGGUAAAAUCCAUGGUCUAUCAAUAUCAACCACGUGUAUUGGGACACACAGAAAAUAUAAGGAAAUGGAAAAAACCCAAAAAUGCAAAUCCAAUCAAAAUAACAAAGUUUAACUUGAUUUUUGCUCCCUUGUAUUUUACUCUUAAAAAUACUCAUAAAUCCACUCAAAUCAAAAUCAAAAUCAAAUUCUCAAACAAAUCAUUAACAUUGAAUAACACUUGAUUCUAAAAUCUGUUUUAAAAUCAUAUAACCAAUAACACCAGAUUUAAAAUAGAAUUUUAAAAUAAUAAAACCAAUAACACUUGAUUUGGAUUGGAUUUUCAAAUCCAUAAAAAUACAUAAACCAAUAACACCUUGUAAUACUUAACAAAUAAGACAGGGGUUGCACCAUCAUAUGUGUUUUUUUUCCUAUCCUAGAUUUGUUUGGGUUGAUCAUAAAAGAGAAACCACCUCAUGGAUGUGAAUUGAGACAGAGCUUUCAACUGAGCUUGCCUAAACAGCUAGUCAUUAUUCCUAUUAUAGCAUCACGAACCUGAGGCAUAUAAAAAGCAUUGAUAAAAGUAAACACUCACAUCUAUAUAUGCAUCCACCGAAGCGCUUCUUUCUUCCUCUAAUUCUUUAUAUAAACAAGUCGGCAAUUUCCUGUCAUGAUGAACAUGUAUUUUCAAACGAUUAUUAUCACUUUGUCCUUCGAUUUCACUCAUAAAAUCUACUUCCAAUGAUAAGUUGCAUGUUUCCAUAAGAAAAUAGAGAAUGUUCUUGUUACUUGAAUCAAGAAAUAAAAAAACGUAUUACCACUUGAAAACAAAAAGAUGAAACUGAGAGAGAGAACCAAGAAAAGAGACAAAAUCUGUAUUGAAACAAAGAGAUGAAACUGACCAUGUGGCGCAGCAUACGAACUGGAUAAUCAGCUCAACCAAGGGAUUUGAUAAUCCUCUUUGGGACCUGCUUCGCUAUUCGAAGAAUCACUUGGGACCGGCUUCCUGUUUUGAUGAAUUUAAUCGAAUCAAAAACAAAGAUUUCAGAGAAAUCUCUCUAGAAUUAAAAUAUAUCAAAAGCUAUCUUACAAAAUAGCCUAAUGGCUUCUUAAAUAGAAAACCUAAACGAAAACCCUAACUUAACGAAUAAGCUAAACCGAGAUAAAUUAGUAAAGCCCAAAAGAAAGCCCAUGACUACAUUUCUCUAGUAAACGUGAAGGAGAGGUAAGAUGCACUGCAUCAGGUCCCUCCGGGUUUGAAAGAUUCGACCACGAAUCGAAAAGGAAAGCUCUGCUCCCAAAUCUCCAAUAGAAGCAUCCUCGUUAGUUUAGCUGCUCUCUCCUCCGAACUCUCCAUGUUCUCACUCUUCUCUUUAGUUUCCCCAUGUUUUGCAUACCUUACCCGAUUACAAGUAAAGAGAUCUCUGCACAUCCAAGUGAAGUUGUAGAACUUGGCGAGACGUUGAAUACUCACCCUAAGCUUCUCACCAUUCAGCCUGUUAUGUGGGAAUAAGUGAACAACCACAAAUACACCUGGCCUUGAAUGAAACGAGGUAUACCGAAAGAAAGAAAGCACGUCUUUAUCCAAGAAGAAACACAAAGGCUUGCUUGAUGUGCAAGUAACAUCACUCCACCAAAUCAAGGGCGUGGGUGUAUAGCUGGAACCAAGGCUCGAAGAAACUUGACGACUCAUAAAGAUUCUACUUGCAACCCUUGUUUCUUGUUUGUUAUAAAAUGUAAAGGUCAUCCCCACAACAUGUGGAACCCGCAUAAGAAACACUGAUCCUACCGUACCGACAGAUAUCACACAUGCCAGAUGAUAAUCAUGAAUACAAACAUGUGCCAAUAUUUCUCCAAAAACAACUGAACGCAAACCCUUCUCUAUGCUCUUUAGAAAACACAACAGCUCAUUGCGAAAGAUGACCCAAAGCAACUCGUGUGCUUCUAAAACAGUCACACAACACCAAUUAACAACAUAUAUCAGCCUUGGCUUGACACAUAUAGACUCCCAAUAUGGAUAUCAUAGAACUCUGGUUCUUGUCGUGCAAGUACCACAAGGAGACUCAGGUUGUAAAGAAAAGGUUGGAGGACACAAUAUCGUAGUGGCCGUAAGAAUAAUGGUGAGAAACUUGAGAUCCUGGUGAGCCACAUCGGUUGAACAAACUGUGACACCUCCGCAAUAGAAAUGUUUGUCAUAUCAUCGGAUGAUCCCAAUGUUAUUAUACUCAAGAUUCUUGUGGCAAGUACAAACUCACUUGGUACAGCUGUAAACAUGUAAGGGAGUAACAUGAAUGGCUUCAAAGCUAGUGGUGUACACAUAAUCCCAGAUUCCUCCAUACCAAAAGUGACAACACAAAGAAAUUCUCGUACUGCUUCAUAUUCCACUUCGAACCAUUCCACUAAAACACCAACAUGAAAGAUAAUACCAUGGAAUAUCAAUCUCCUAUCGUUGCAAAAUUUGCACUCAUUGCUCGUAUUUUCCAAAAUAUCAGAAAAUUUCUGUCCCACACAAGCAAUAGAACAAAUUCGGUGCGUCGAUGACAAAUUUCUCAAACUCGUGCUUUGACUCAUCCAAAGCAGUGUAACUGUAGAUAACAUCAAAUCACGUUCCCACAUUAUUAUUUUAUGAGGAAAGAAAAGGCUGCACAUGUCUUUGUAUUGUUGGCAUGAGAUACGAAACACCAAGUUGCUCACGUGACCACAAUCCGUAGAAAACCAGCAAUACUUUUGCUCAAUGUGCGGUAGACACACACACACCGCCGGGAACGUGCCAUUGUCUCUAACGCGAGGUUCGUUCGGUAGCUCAAAUGUAAAACAUUCUUGCGCAAAAUUAUCAUUAUAUUUCCACCUUUGAUCUACAUGAUCAUGAGGUUGAGGGUCACGUCUCCCGCCAUAGCGAGUAUACACAUCCAAGAUAUUUGGAAGCUCUACAUCUUGAUCCUUGGAAACAUGUAGUACAUCAUUUUGUUCAGCUGACUUACCUCGGACAAAAAUGGUUUGUGAACUAGUUGAGUCUCCUUGAUAACCGAGACCUGUCGUCGUCUUCCCUAUCCUCCCCAUGCUUAAGAUCUUGUCUAAUGUCGCGGAUCCUCUGUUUAACAUACGGAUGUUCUUAUAUGUCUCAUUCAAAUCAAGUUCCAAAGUCAUGCUUUUCUCUUUCUCCCACACAAGUGCCUCUUGAAGUUCAACAAUCUUCUUUUCCAAUGCAUAUUUCUCAGAAAGAGACAUCACACUCACAUCAUCCCUUUGAUCUUGCUUGAAUUUCUGACUACGAAACUUGGUUUCCAGUAACUUUGUGUCCUCUUCAGCACACUCUGAUCCACUGGUUCCUGAAACAAAAAGGCUGUGUCUUACAUCAUGAUUUACAUAUGCACGUGCUGUAUUUUGAGCACGAUCAGGUGGCUCGCAAAUGACUUGUCUAUGACAUUCCUUUCUCCAAUCCACAUGUUGCUUCAUCGCAUCCACAGACAUAUCAUCAACCUUCUCGUCGAAGACUAGACCACGUUCUGAUUUUGGCUCUUCGAUAAGUUCUUCUUUCUUCAUUGACAUACUGUUGAUCCCAAAGGCCAGCUGGAUCACUAAUCUAUAUUAUAAUAGUUGAGUUUUUACUCACUCCUCAGCGCGCCACAUCAGCGUUUUGUGGGUCCUACUUUAAAAAGUGUGAAAAAGUGUCACGCCAUGGCUCGAACCCAGGUUAUUGAGAUAUAAAUACCAACAUUUAUACCACUAAGCUAAAUGAUACUUUGUACAUUGUUGGCCGAACCUAAUAUAUAUUUAUGAAGGUUGGAAGCUCUUGAUUCUUCGACUUCCUCUGAGCAGAUCGGGCCUACAAGUGUAUUAUGGGUUUCAUUUUUAAAUGAAAUUCAUCACGUUAUAUGAAAAAGUUCAAGUUUGCAACAAUUAUAGUUUUUCCAUAUUGUAAACUAAUGUCGUUUAACAUGAGUUUGAGUUCUUUUCAUCAUUGUCUCAAACAAGUUUGAGUUACAGAGUUGCGCUGUGUGUCUGUUCGUAAUCUAUUUUUUCAUCGGUGAACUCUUCAUGUCCCCAUCUUAAAUCGCUUGAUCAUAAAUGUUCCUGAUUUGUAGCCCCUCUGUAAACCCUAUAUAUAUGAUUCUCAUCUUUCAUGAACCCAAUCUGCAUCUCCACAAAACUCAUUGAUUCCUCUUAGCUUUAACCAUCUUCUAGAAAACAUUUCUCUCUGCCUCUCCAGGUCUUCAAACCGACGUCUCGGCAUCCAUCACUCAACCUUCGAGUCUCUCCGUCUUGGUCGUAGUAGUCAGAGCAUAGCCUCUGGCUUCCUCCGCUUCUGGGAUUCCCUGAACUUCAAGAAAGAUAGGGAGUUUGUGGGAAUCACAGUUCUUUUCCUUGAUGAAAAGGUAAGUUAAUAUUCGAUCUAUCACACUUAUUUAACAUAAAUUUUUAAUUGAUUUCCUGAUUCUUUGUUGAAUAAUAUUAGUUGCAGAUUCCGUGAUUCAUGGGUUUACUCCCGUCGGACGUGCUAAUCAUUACAUGCCAUCUUUGAAAGCAGAUUCCAUUGUGAAAGUCGAUCGUUUUGAGGUUGCUAGGUGCUCAAGCAUGUACAAGAUAACUGAUCAUCCAUUCCUCAUUCGUUUCAUCUCACUAACCAUUAUUGAUGAAGUCAUCACAAAUGAUCCUGAGAUCAAUCCCCAGUCAAGAUUAGACUGUUCGACAAUCUCCAAGUAACUGCGAACACAAACCUAGAACUCCUAGGUAUAUUAUCACAUUGCAUCUGGGUUUAUAUUAUGUUUCGAUAUCAUAACUGAUAUUUAAACACGCAGAUGUUGUUGGGAAAAUCUGUUAUGUUUAGGGCUCUGAACUCACCAAAGAAACAACUCGAGUCGUUAUCCGUCUCCUCAUUGAUCCGUAAGAAACAAUCAACACAUAAUUCUCUUUUUAUUACUGUCUAUAUUGUGCUAACAUCAAUAAUCAAAAAUAUUUUCUACCCAAGAUUUGUGGUCGUCUAUUUAUAUCUCUUACUUAUCAAUCUAAUUUUACACAAAUCUUUAUUUUACAGCUUAAAAGAAACCACAAUAACCCAAACAACCAGAACACCAAAAACUAGAAUCCCAUCCAUUGUGAAAGUCGAUCGUUUUGAGGUUGCUAGGUGCUCAAGCAUGUACAAGAUAACUGAUCAUCCAUUCCUCAUUCGUUUCAUCUCACUAACCAUUAUUGAUGAAGUCAUCACAAAUGAUCCUGAGAUCAAUCCCCAGUCAAGAUUAGACUGUUCGACAAUCUCCAAGUAACUGCGAACACAAACCUAGAACUCCUAGGUAUAUUAUCACAUUGCAUCUGGGUUUAUAUUAUGUUUCGAUAUCAUAACUGAUAUUUAAACACGCAGAUGUUGUUGGGAAAAUCUGUUAUGUUUAGGGCUCUGAACUCACCAAAGAAACAACUCGAGUCGUUAUCCGUCUCCUCAUUGAUCCGUAAGAAACAAUCAACACAUAAUUCUCUUUUUAUUACUGUCUAUAUUGUGCUAACAUCAAUAAUCAAAAAUAUUUUCUACCCAAGAUUUGUGGUCGUCUAUUUAUAUCUCUUACUUAUCAAUCUAAUUUUACACAAAUCUUUAUUUUACAGCUUAAAAGAAACCACAAUAACCCAAACAACCAGAACACCAAAAACUAGAAUCCCAAAAAAGACCAAUCAUUAAUGAUCACCUCUCUUUUUGUCUAAUCUUACAAAUAAACUUCAAAACAAAUAUACAAAACCAAUCAACUCAACUAAAACUCAACGACACAUACAUUGAGCCAUCUAAAUAAAUACAAACUAUACAUCCAGCUAUUUAACAAUUUACAAACUUACUUUCGCAGAUGCUUACGACAAAGACGAAGACGACAACCAAGAUCAGUGAAAUUACCUAAACAAAAAAGCAGAGUAAGUUACAAACUCUGAUAAAUACAACUAACAAUGAUUUUGUUUACAAAUAAAAGAGACACAAACACAACCAUACCAGGAGAUACAAGAGACAAUCCCAACAUACACAAAGGCGGCAACAACAUCUCCACCUGCUCACUCCUCUUGUCUUAUGAAAAUAACUUACAUACUCAAUGUCAACAUGCCAAUGCUAUUGUCUUCUUAUGAGAAAUACAUAUAUUCGUUUAAAACCCAUUAAGGCUCAAAUACUAAUUGUCACUCAUUUUUAUAGUUAUUUUUACAAGUCUUCAUAUAUUUGUUUUAAAGGUCCGGUAAAAUCAACAAGUCUAAAAAUAAAAAACAUAUAACCGGCAUAAUAAGAAUAAAAAAGAUUAUUACUUAAUACACAAAACUAAACCGGAGAAAAAAUAUCCAGAAACAAAAGGUACUCCCAACAAUCUUAACAUAAUUUAUGUAAUCUCAACAGUACAAGUAACAAAUUAAAAAGAUAAACAAACAAUAAGUCUUAGUGACACAGCAAGCAACACCACAAACUAUAUCAAUCACAUUACUAACACAGUUUAGUCCUUCAUGAGUGGAGAACAGUGCAUACACAGUUCAUCAUCACAACUCUAACCCUAUAACAAUAAAAACUUGAGAAUAAUGAUUAACCCAAAACGCACAAUUCACAACUACAAUAACUCUAACAAAUAUUGAGAUGAAACAAGAACUCUGUCCACAGCCCCGCGCUUGCGCAGAGGCAAUGCCCCUAGUUAGAUUAAUAAAAGAGUCCUUAUUUGCUUUUAUGACGUCUUCACAACUUGGAUCAAUAAUAUGCUCUCAAAAAGAUUCUGCGUCAGCUUCUUUAUCAUAGUCAUCAUACACGUCAAACAUCUGACCACCAAUUUGAUCGACAAAAAAGUACUCAUCUCUUUUUAUGUCGACUACAUCGAAUAGGCUGUGGUUUAGAUUAACAAUAUGCUCAGAAAAAAAAUUCUUCGUCUUCUUUGUAGUCAGACAAAUCCAAGUCAUAUUCAUCGUCACUAGGGUUGUCAAAAACAUCUACGUGAUUAGAAUUAACCUGGGUAACAAAACCCUGCACCGCCUUGCUAAGCUUUUGUAUAUCUUCUCUGAGAUACACAAAUAACUCUGCCUCUGUGGGUAGGGACUUUUUUGUAGCUUUGCCCAUCGUUAGAAAUCGUAGUUCGGCUCUGAUACCAACCUGGCGCAGCAUAAGAACUGGAUAAUCAGUUCAACCAAGAGAUUUGAUAAUCCUGCUUGGGACCUGCUUCGCUCAAUCAAGGGAUUCGAAGAAUCACUUGAGACCGACUUCCUGUUUUGAUGAAUUUAAUCGAAUCAAGAACAAGAGUUUCAGAGAAAUUUCUCUAAAAUUAAAAUAUAUCAAAAGCUAUCUUACAAAAUAGCCUAAUGGCUUCUUAAAUAGAAAACCUAAACGAAAACCCUAACUUAACGAAUAAGCUAAACCGAGAUAAAUUAGUAAAGCCCAAAAGAAAGCCCAUGACUACAUUUCUCUAGUAAACGUGAAGGAGAGGUAAGAUGCACAUCACCAUGUUCCAGCGUCGAUGGUGAAUUGAACAUCUUUACAUGGCAAAUCAAACCAACAAAAGCAACCAUCCUAUAAUCAUACCUUUUUUAAACUGUUACAAUUUUUUUGUAAAUAUCUAAAUCAAUGUUAUACAUAAACCCUCGAUUCAAUUAUAGGUUUCUGAGACCUCGUCAGAAGUGGCAAAAGAAGGCGGCUUAAAACUGAGUAAUUACUGGAUGGAAGUACCCAGAAUCUGAAGGUUUUCAAGAAAACGACUGUGUUUUGGAUUCAGUGGCAGAGGAUCGUAAAUAUUUAAAAAAAGUAAUUAUUGCGAUAGCAAAAAUGUAAAACUACUGUGUUUUGAUGACUGACAUAGAUUGAUAAUUAUUGUGGAAAAAUCAGGGUUAAGUAUAAAUUAUACCUCAGUUUUAAUGGUUUAGAUACUACCUAAACUUUUUAAAAUGUGCUAAAAUCUACAUUGUCCGUAAUAGAAGUUAGUCAACCGUUAAAAAACAAAAAUAAUAUCAUUUUGGUUUAAUCUUUUUUAUAAAAUAUGCUUAUUUUAUGAUUCAAACCCAUACAUUGAUACACUUUAAAAGAGACACUCUAACCACUGGUGUAAAGUAAAUGUUUGAUAAAUAAUUACAAAUUUGAAACUAUAUAUACUACUAUACUUUUUCAUAUUUUCCAAUUAAAACUUUGGUGAUUAUUAUUUCUGAUUUGUAUAAAUACAUUAACAUAUUUUUAAUUAUCAUAUCUUUAAUAAACUUAUAUUAUACUAAAAUAUAAAUAAUAAAAUAUUUUAAAUGAUACAAAAUUAAAUAUACUUAAAAUUUUGAAACUAUUUAUAAAUUUUUCUUAUAUAAAUUAUUGUAAUUUUAAAAUUUUGAAUGGUAGUUUUUUCUUUAAAAAUUAAUAUAAUAUAUUUGUGAUAUUUUGUUCAAAAUGUUGGUUGUGUUAAAAGGACUUUUACUUUUCUUUCACUGAAAUAUUUUGUUCAAAAUAUUAAACACAUUAAACAAGAACUAAAAUAUAUAGUACAAUAUAUUAUUUUGAAAAAUAAAAGAAAAAUACCAUUAGUUUUAAAAAUCAAAAUAAUUUUUAUAGUAAAAUUUUAUAAAUAGUUUCAAAUUUUUAAUUAUAUUUAAUUUUGUAUAAUUUAAAAUAUUUCAUUAUUUAUAUUUUAGUAUAAUAUAAGUAUAUUAAAUAUAUGGUAAUUAAAAAAUAUGUUAAAGUAUUUAUAAAAGUCAGAAACAAUUAUCAAACAUUUGGAGAAGAUGAAGAAGUAUAGUAGUAUAUAUAGUUUCAAAUUUGUAACUAUAUAUCAAACAUUUACUUUGGUCCAAUGAUUAUAGUGUCUCUUUUAAAGUGUAUCAAUGCAUGGGUUCGAAUCUCUGAAUGAACAUAUUUUUAAAAACAAAUAUUAAACCAAAAUGACUUCGUUUUUUUUUAACGGUUGACUAACUUCGGUUACGGUCAGUGUAGAUUUUGGCCCGUUUUAAAAAGUUUAUGUAAUAUUUUUAAAUUAUAAUUUAGUUAGAAUUGUAUUUAGCACUGAUCAUUUGGUUAUGUCGUAUUUGGCACGACAUAAAUUGUUUGGGUCGAAAAAGACUCUUUUCCCGUUCAUAUUAUGGUAUUGUGCUACAGAUAUAACAUGUUUACUGAGAAUGUCGUACAUGUAUAUGUUAUGGAAAGAAUUUCGUUGUGAAAUUUUUUCAUGAAUUUGUUUAUUAUUAUUGCGUAUAUUGUAAGUAACUAUCAUCAUUUGUAAUAGAGAUAAGAAAUUAUAUGAUAAUGUAUAUAGUGUAAAACAUACACAUUAUGUUGUAUGAUUUUCAAAAAAUAAGUAAACUGAGAAAGAGGAUUUAGAUCUUUCCCAAAAUUCUAAGAACACUGCAGUUUUAACAUGUUUACUAGGAAUGUAGGUUCGGGUAUUCGUAUGGUCUAGUUGGGUUUUUAGAGUUUUUUUAGAGCCCAUCUUUUUUUUCUACAGUAUGAUUUGGUUAUACAUGUUAAAAUCCAUUUUGUGACUAUGCAUUUUGAGAUUAUGAUAUAUUAGUUUAGUUGUUUUAGAUAUUAUAUCAAAAUAAAAUAUUUAAAGCAAUUAUUUAAGUUAUGAAUACUUAUUUUAAUAUAUCAUAUUAAACAUGUAACUAUUUAAGAUUCAAAUACUUAUUUCAGAUACUUAUCUGAAUCUUUGAACCAUGGUUUUCGAUUAUUUGGGUUUUAAAAAAAAAAAAAUUGAUAUCUAAUGGAUCCACAUUUUGGUUUUGAUUCGGGUCGGAUCCAGUGUUCCAUGAUUUUUGUCCAUGCCUAAUGCUUACUGUUUAGGUUGGGCUGGCAGGUCGGUCACCCAAAUGAUAAACCUGCGCGUAUAUGCCCAUUUAAAUACGGGCCUUGCGGUUAAGAAGUCCAAAAAUAAUGUUUUAGGGAUGAAAAAACAAACAACUCCCGUAUAGUUUGGGGACUUUAAUUUCAUAUAUGCUAUAAAUAUAGAUGUAUUUAGGAGAUUUUGAAGGAAAGCUUGAGCGCUGUUUCUCUCUGCCUCUCUGUGAAUCGCUUAUUCAAUCCGUCUCCCACGCUUUUUAUCUUUCAACGUAAGAUUUUGUUUAUUUAUUUUUAUUAAUGUUUCUCUCUUUGCAGUGACAUAGCCUUGUAUCGAUCUCAAAGCAACGAGAUUGAUGAAACCUUAAUUCUUGGACAGAUGGGUCUAACGGAAGAAGAAAUCAAAAGAAUAUACAGAAUCCAGAAGACGUUGAUGCAGAUGCUCAAGGACCGUGGCUACUUUAUCGCCGAUUCUGAAAUCACGAUGACCCUAUCACAGUUCGUUAGGAAGCAUGGGGACAACAUGAAAAGGGAGGAUCUUGUUACUCUCAGAGCUAAGAGAAACGAUAGCAGUGAUCAGGUAUGAGGCGUGCAUUGAUUGUCUCUCAACAUGUGAUCAUGUUACUCUCAAAAGUUGUGCCAUUUGAACUGCCAAAAGCAUAGUGCGUGAUUGUUUUCAUGUGUUUGGUUUCUUUUUUCUUUUUAAGUCUAUGAUUCAUGCAUGCUCCUCCUGUCCUGUUGUAGCUCUAUGUCUUCUUCCCUGAUGAGGUGAAAGUUGGAAUUAACACAAUGAAAGUGUACACAAACCGGAUGAAGUCAGAGAAUGUUUACAGAGCUAUCUUGGUUGUUCAGCAGAACUUGACUCCUUUUGCUCGAAACUGCAUUAGUCAGAUCUCUUCUAAAUUCCAUCUCGAAGUUUUCCAGGUAGUAAACACAGUUCCCUUGUUUGUUUUUGAUCUCCUCAUGAUGUGGAUCCUUAAUCAAGUUGUGUGUGUGUGUGUGCAGGAGGCGGAAAUGCUAGUGAAUAUUAAGGAACAUGUUCUUGUUCCUGAGCACCAAGUUCUCACCACUGAAGAGAAGAAAACUUUACUGGAGAGAUACACUGUCAAGGAGACUCAGGUUUGUUCUUCUUUUUUCAGUUUUUCUUGGGUGAGAAACUUUGGGGUUCUGUGUGUGAUUAAAAGUUUGAAACUUUGUGGGUUCUGUGUGUGUUUAGCUUCCAAGGAUUCAAGUGACUGAUCCAAUCGCAAGAUACUUUGGACUCAAACGUGGCCAAGUCGUCAAGAUCAUCCGUCCUAGUGAAACCGCUGGUCGUUACGUUACCUAUCGUUAUGCUGUAUAACCAAAAAGCAGCUUUUGUAGAUUCAGAGUUGAACUCUCAGAGCUGUGAAACAUAAGACGAUUACCAAACUAUUGACAAUGGUUUUUUGCUACAUUUAUUUAUUUAUAUGUGCACGGUUCUUUUUGCUACAUGUAAGAAAUUGAAAACCUUACGAGUAUCUUUUAUUAUCAUACUAGGAUAAGACCUGCGCCUUGCGCAUGGUGACUUUAUUUAUAUAUAUUAUCGAUAGUUUCUUUUAUAUAUUUGAUCAUUUUAUUUAUAUAUAUAAAAUAUUUUUUGUUGUUAUUAUAUAAUUUCUUUCCGAUGGAUCGGAUCAAUUUUUAUUAAAAAUUAUGCAACAAAACUAUAAUUAAUACAUCAUGGGUUGAUCAGAUUGGACAUUAAACAAAUUAUGACAUAAAAACCUUAUUUUUUCCAGCGAACACAUUCUUGAAAAAAGUGAACAGUAUUGUUUUCACAGUUGAAUUAUUUUGACUUUUAUCUUCCAUAUGGUUUUGAAAGCUUUCAAAUCAACCAUCGAAUUGAUACAUGUCAUUUUAAUGUUUUUAGUCGUAUACUUAAGGAAAACUUACAUUUUUGUAAUUUAAAGUCGUUUUAAAAAANNNNNNNNNNNNNNNNNNNNNNNNNNNNNNNNNNNNNNNNNNNNNNNNNNNNNNNNNNNNNNNNNNNNNNNNNNNNNNNNNNNNNNNNNNNNNNNNNNNNNNNNNNNNNNNNNNNNNNNNNNNNNNNNNNNNNNNNNNNNNNNNNNNNNNNNNNNNNNNNNNNNNNNNNNNNNNNNNNNNNNNNNNNNNNNNNNNNNNNNNNNNNNNNNNNNNNNNNNNNNNNNNNNNNNNNNNNNNNNNNNNNNNNNNNNNNNNNNNNNNNNNNNNNNNNNNNNNNNNNNNNNNNNNNNNNNNNNNNNNNNNNNNNNNNNNNNNNNNNNNNNNNNNNNNNNNNNNNNNNNNNNNNNNNNNNNNNNNNNNNNNNNNNNNNNNNNNNNNNNNNNNAAUUAUUUUGACUUUUAUCUUCCAUAUGGUUUUGAAAGCUUUCAAAUCAACCAUCGAAUUGAUACAUGUCAUUUUAAUGUUUUUAGUCGUAUACUUAAAGAAAACUUACAUUUUUGUAAUUUAAAGUCAUUUUAAAAAAUUCAAAAUAUAACAUAUAAGAAAACAUCUAAUUUUUUUAUUAUAUGGUUAAUGUGAUUGUUUAUUUAAAAAAAAAUAUAUAUAAUUAAACAUUCAUAAUCAUUGAUUGUCAUAUAUAUGUAAAUCAUAUUAGGUAAUUCCGUAGCUUUUAUUUAAGGAAAGAAUACACACUUCCUAUAUUUUAGGUUAAUAUAAUGUUCUCUACUGUUAUAUAAUUAUGAAAUAAUGUGACACCAUUAGAUUAAACUAUAUUUUAUAUUAGAUGUUCUAGAAUUCUUUGAAAUGAAAUUUAGAAGGCAUUUAGAGUGCCACCUAGGAUUUAGGUUUUUUUCUAAUUAAUACAAAAUUAAGGUUCUAAUUUUUCGAAUGCUUCUCAAUUAAUAUAUAGGAGAUAUAUUGAAAACCUUACGAGUAUCUUUUAUUAUCAUAUAUACACUGUUAGUGCACAAUGGGCAACUUCUCGUCAGCACUUGCCAUGAUUUAAUGGUUCGGACAGUUCAGCAUUGAGAUAAGUUGGGAACAUAGCAAGAUUAAGUCAAAUCAAGUGUUUAUUUGGUUAAUACUCUUUAUGAUGGACGAGAGAAUCGUUUAUGUUAAUGGAAGUGGCCAAGUACAAAUAGAAAGGAACAAUACUUCUUCUACCCAUGUAGAAAAUAAAUGAUGACAAUAAACUUCAAAAUAAAAUAAUGUUUGUUUAUGAGACAGGGAGCUAACAUAGCUUUGACUCCUUGUAACUAAACUCCCUACUCGAGACACCAAGCCCUCCCUCCAUUAUUGCCGGUCGGAUCAUUAACUCAGUAAGAGCUGUUAGGAUCCUUUAAUCCAAACCCACCAAAGCUGCUCCUUCCACUUGACUGUGAAGAACGGUCUGAACCAAAUCCCCCAUAACCUCCUGAUGAACGGUUUGAACCUCCUGAACCAAAGCCCCCGUAACCAGAGGAACGAUCUGAACCACCAGAAUAACGGUUGCCUGAUCCUUCUGAACGAUCACCACCAUAUCUACCACUACCACCACCACCACCAUAACCACCUGAACGACCACCAUAGCUUGAACUGCGAUCCCUCAUACCUCCUCCAUAGGAUCCACCAGAUCGACCACCUAUUCCUUCAAACAUGCUUCCGCUUCCACGCUCCACAGGAAUGCUAGGAAGCUGCAUUAACCCAACCCAAUACCAAAGUUUAGUCUAAGUAGAAGAAACAAAAAAAAAGAGAGGGUAAGUAAAGUAAUAGAGUCAUAUACCUCAGUGAAUUUGCUUCCCACUUCUCUCUCAAUCAUUUUAACUGCCCUUGAUUGCUCUGGACCAUGAAUAAGAAUCGCAUUUCCUUUCUUUCCAGCACGACCUGUUCUCCCCGUUCGGUGAACAAACGUCUCCGUGUUAUUAGGAAGCUCGUAAUGAAUUACCUAUAUUCACGCAAUCAAAAGAAAGAGUUAAUAAGAUAAGAAACAUAACUCGUUAAGAACAAGAAAAGAGUGUAGUUUUUUUACUCACCAAGUCGACAUUAGGGACAUCGAGUCCACGAGCAGCAACAUCAGUUGCAACAAGGAUAUUGAAAUUCCCAUCUCUGAAACCAGCUAGUGUUCUUUCUCUCUGGCUCUGCGAUAUGUCACCGUGUAAAGCUUCACAUUUGAAGGUUUUCGCCAAUCCAUACGAAAGGCGAUCAGCAUCACGUUUAGUUUGUGUAAACACGAUGCAUUUUCCUCCUUUACCAUGCGCCUGCAAACGGAAAAAAAAAAAAAGUACUAUAAAAGCCUUCCCGAUAAAUAACAAGAAAAAUCACAACCAGAAGCAUGCAUACCUCUACAAGAGGACCAAUGAUGGAUGCUUUUCCAUAAGAAUCUGCUGAGAUAGAGUACAUUGUAAUCCCAUCUGCAAGUUUCUGAUCAGAAUCUCCAACCUAAACACACACAAUCAGUCACCUCAUUAACUAACAACUCUGCUAAACCAAUAUAUUCACAAGCACGUAUGGGAGAUUACUCACAAGAUCAAUUGUCAAAGGAUUAUUCAGGUACUUUUUGGUGAGAGAUCUGAUCCAACUCGGCAUUGUAGCAGAAAACAUCAUGCUCUGACGCUUCUCAGGCAACUUUUGCAAUAUAACUUCAACAUCCUCCGCGAAUCCAACCUGAAGCAUCUGAUCAGCUUCAUCGAGAACAAUAAACUGAACCUCUGAGAGAUUCAAAGCUCCCCUUUUCAUUAGAUCGAUGAUACGACCCGGAGUUCCAACGGCUACAUCGACACCGUAGUUGAGCUCCCUCAUCUGCUGUCCAAUGGGUGUACCCCCGUACAGACAGAUGGUAUCCAAGCUUGGAGCAGACUCCCUGAACUCCUUCUCAACCUGACGAGCAAGCUCUCUUGUCGGAGCCAGAACCAAACAAAGAGGGUUCUUCCCACGCCUGUCACACACAUCAAAGGCUACAUAAACAGGCAAACGAAGAGAGACUAGACUGUAAACACAAAGUACAAUCAAUCAAGGGAAUAAACAAACCCGUGUUUAGCGUUGAACUUGAUGAUUUUGUCGAUGACGGGAAUCCCGAAAGCAAGGGUCUUUCCUGUUCCUGUCCUAGCACGACCGAUCAUGUCCCGACCUUGCAUCGCUGGCUCAAGCACAGCUUUCUAUACAAACCAACAAACAUCAAAAAUCAAUGAAAAAGCAGAGACCUUUAAAUUGAUCUGAUUGAAUAAACAAGAGCAUACCUGAAUAGGGAAGAGUUUAUCGAUUCCUCUACCACUCAAAGCUUUGACGAUCUCCGGAGAGAUCCCAAGGUCAGAUAUCGCUAACCCAUCACCGCCGUCACCGCUGCUGCCAACACUCUCCUCCGAAUCUCCUCCGUCAUACGAAGGGGCGUAAUCUUGAGCCGCGAAUCCAGCGGAAGAAGCCAUGGACGCUCUGAACUCCGACGGUCGGGAUUGGAAAUGAAAGUCUCUCGCUUUAACGCCAUACGGGUUCGGAGUCUGAGGGAGAGCGACGCCAGAUUUGAGAACGGAGACUGUGGCGGCGGAGGGGGAUGGAGUAAGGUGGUGAAGUAGAGCGGCGUUGAUGGAGGUGAGAGAGGCGGACAGAGUCUGAGUCCGCCUUGAGGCACCAAGGACGGAUCGGCGGAGAACUGUGCUGAUCAUUUUCAGAUCUAGAGGAGGGAGGUGAGAUGAGAAGGAAAAUGUUUGACAGAGAAAACCCAAAUUAGGGUUUUAGGGUUUUAGUGAGGGGCCUUUAAAGAAGAAGAAGGCAGGUGGCAACUUGAAAGUAUCUACGCCUCCUACAAGUAUUAAAAAAAAAAAAAAAAAGAAGAUAUUUUGUUAUAAUCGCCUGCAGGUGAGUGUAUGGUAUACUCCUGUACCUGCUGCGCGAGUUUAUUUUUCCUUGAGCCCAGAGGUGUGAACAAAGUGGGCCGAGUUACUUGGUGCGUAAAUAAUUCCGGAUUUUAUAAAUACUAAUUUGAAAUUGUCAUAAUUUGAAUUGGUUAUUUUGACUUUUAACUAAUGUUAAUUAAUUUUAAAAAUAUCUGUUCAAUGUGCAUAUCUAACCUACUACUCGGCUGGGAAAUGAGAAUCAUUUUACUGACAAAAUAGAUCCACUCUUUUUCAAAGCUGUAAACUACUCGCGCUUAUGAAGAUUUUCAUGGCGGCUUCAACCAUAGUAUGACUCUGUACAUGGGAUGCCGUGAAGACUGAUAACAAGUCUGGUGAUCACUGAGACUAAACUUGCUCUGAGCAAGCGUGGGAUCGAGGUAAUUGUGUCCCAAGGCCAUUGCUCAACUUAUUGGAUUGUGUUUUUCCAAUUCUCUACUCUGCUUCACAGCAUUAGAAUUCAUAUGGUACUACUUAUUAAUGAAAACAUUCAAAAGACUAACUAUGAUAUAUUGCAAGUCUAUUUUGUUUUGUCAAGCAAUUUCAAUAGAAAAAUCAUCUAACAAACACAUAAUGAAUUGGCAUAUAACAUUGCGCACCAAAAUUCAAACUAAAACCAUGUAUAGCUGACUUAUCUGUUGAAUCCCGUAAGAUUCAGACAUUAUUGCAGGAUCAGGUCAAAACCCCCACCUGUAAACAUUCUCAGAAACGAUAUCUCUAAGCCCUGUCUCACUUGCUGCCUAACACAGGAGACAUAUCCAAACGGGUCUUGCAGUGGAACUGCAGCUCGUACUGAGCUCCGAGGAUACGGUAACGCUUCAACCAAAACAGCUUGUUGCUAAGCUCGUGGCUCUGAGCUUUGAUGACAAGAAACCGUUUCUUGAACCUCAUCUCGAACUGCUCUCUGGACUUCUUGUCGACGUGAGGGGAACGAAGCACCGUGUACAAGGUCCUUGUGUCGGGCAUGGCGGCGUAGCGACUGUGAGGAGGAAGACACCAAGCUUCCUUCUCCGGGUUAUCGAAUGAACGGAUCGCAAUGCAGAUCCUCGUUCCUUUGAUCUUUGAUGUGCUUUCUCCUCCUCCUUUCUUCUAAUUUAAAACCGCAACACACAAGAAAGAAGCAACGGUUCAUAACUGUAUUAGAAUCAUCUAAGAACGAGUUUUAGAGAAGGAAAUGGUACCUUCUUGCUCAAUGGUUUGACAUUCUCCGGAGAGAUUUUGAUCUUAGCUGAAUCUCCGAUGCUGCUUUCACUCCCUGUGGCGUAACCUCGAAACGAGAUCUUCGCCGGGGAAACCAUAGAAGGCUCAGAUCUGAUGUGGAAGUCCCUCGCGCUGAUAACGAACGAUGCGGAGGAGAGAGUAGAUCCAUUCCCAACCAGAUUCAGCUUCACGGAGGCUCCGGUGGCGGCUGAAGUGAUAUUGAGUGAGAGACCCGAGUCAAAAGAGGUCAGCGCGGCGGAGAGAGCAUGCCUCGACGGCAAGGAAGAUCUGCGGAGUACUCCGAUCAUUUACGGAGACUGUGGCGGCGGAGGGGGAUGGAGUAAGGUGGUGAAGUAGAGCGGCGUUGAUGGAGGUGAGAGAGGCGGACAGAGUCUGAGUCCGCCUUGAGGCACCAAGGACGGAUCGGCGGAGAACUGUGCUGAUCAUUUUCAGAUCUAGAGGAGGGAGGUGAGAUGAGAAGGAAAAUGUUUGACAGAGAAAACCCAAAUUAGGGUUUUAGGGUUUUAGUGAGGGGCCUUUAAAGAAGAAGAAGGCAGGUGGCAACUUGAAAGUAUCUACGCCUCCUACAAGUAUUAAAAAAAAAAAAAAAAAGAAGAUAUUUUGUUAUAAUCGCCUGCAGGUGAGUGUAUGGUAUACUCCUGUACCUGCUGCGCGAGUUUAUUUUUCCUUGAGCCCAGAGGUGUGAACAAAGUGGGCCGAGUUACUUGGUGCGUAAAUAAUUCCGGAUUUUAUAAAUACUAAUUUGAAAUUGUCAUAAUUUGAAUUGGUUAUUUUGACUUUUAACUAAUGUUAAUUAAUUUUAAAAAUAUCUGUUCAAUGUGCAUAUCUAACCUACUACUCGGCUGGGAAAUGAGAAUCAUUUUACUGACAAAAUAGAUCCACUCUUUUUCAAAGCUGUAAACUACUCGCGCUUAUGAAGAUUUUCAUGGCGGCUUCAACCAUAGUAUGACUCUGUACAUGGGAUGCCGUGAAGACUGAUAACAAGUCUGGUGAUCACUGAGACUAAACUUGCUCUGAGCAAGCGUGGGAUCGAGGUAAUUGUGUCCCAAGGCCAUUGCUCAACUUAUUGGAUUGUGUUUUUCCAAUUCUCUACUCUGCUUCACAGCAUUAGAAUUCAUAUGGUACUACUUAUUAAUGAAAACAUUCAAAAGACUAACUAUGAUAUAUUGCAAGUCUAUUUUGUUUUGUCAAGCAAUUUCAAUAGAAAAAUCAUCUAACAAACACAUAAUGAAUUGGCAUAUAACAUUGCGCACCAAAAUUCAAACUAAAACCAUGUAUAGCUGACUUAUCUGUUGAAUCCCGUAAGAUUCAGACAUUAUUGCAGGAUCAGGUCAAAACCCCCACCUGUAAACAUUCUCAGAAACGAUAUCUCUAAGCCCUGUCUCACUUGCUGCCUAACACAGGAGACAUAUCCAAACGGGUCUUGCAGUGGAACUGCAGCUCGUACUGAGCUCCGAGGAUACGGUAACGCUUCAACCAAAACAGCUUGUUGCUCAGCUCGUGGCUCUGAGCUUUGAUGACAAGAAACCGUUUCUUGAACCUCAUCUCGAACUGCUCUCUGGACUUCUUGUCGACGUGAGGGGAACGAAGCACCGUGUACAAGGUCCUUGUGUCGGGCAUGGCGGCGUAGCGACUGUGAGGAGGAAGACACCAAGCUUCCUUCUCCGGGUUAUCGAAUGAACGGAUCGCAAUGCAGAUCCUCGUUCCUUUGAUCUUUGAUGUGCUUUCUCCUCCUCCUUUCUUCUAAUUUAAAACCGCAACACACAAGAAAGAAGCAACGGUUCAUAACUGUAUUAGAAUCAUCUAAGAACGAGUUUUAGAGAAGGAAAUGGUACCUUCUUGCUCAAUGGUUUGACAUUCUCCGGAGAGAUUUUGAUCUUAGCUGAAUCUCCGAUGCUGCUUUCACUCCCUGUGGCGUAACCUCGAAACGAGAUCUUCGCCGGGGAAACCAUAGAAGGCUCAGAUCUGAUGUGGAAGUCCCUCGCGCUGAUAACGAACGAUGCGGAGGAGAGAGUAGAUCCAUUCCCAACCAGAUUCAGCUUCACGGAGGCUCCGGUGGCGGCUGAAGUGAUAUUGAGUGAGAGACCCGAGUCAAAAGAGGUCAGCGCGGCGGAGAGAGCAUGCCUCGACGGCAAGGAAGAUCUGCGGAGUACUCCGAUCAUUUCAGAUUCGACGGCCACGAAGACGAGAAAUGAGACAGAGCGAGAGAGAAGAAGGAAUUUUUUAACAAAAAAACGUGUUCCCAACUAGGGUUUUAGUCAGGAUCGCCUGCGACGAGUAUACGCUUUUUCACAUGCACGCGCGACACGUUUGAUAAGUAUAUAUAUAUAUAUACAAAGGCUGUUGUUUGCCUGUCUGUUUCUAUUCUUUUAUUACCUUUGAGAGGUUGUAAUCAUGGCCAUUUUCUCAGUCAAGUUAGAAGAUGCACAAAAGUGUGUAUAAAGUUACAUAUAAUUCUACUAAAUGAUGAUGAUGACCAGAGUAGUAAAUACAUAAGGGAGAGAGAGAAAGCGAUCAAAAAGACUUGAGAACAUGCAAAAAAACUACAUCCAUGUAUCAAUUGCCCUGGAAUCUCCGGUGGGUAUUGUCUCGGAAGGUAGAUACACGUUUCGGGCUUUGAGAGAUUUCUUCUUUCUUCCUUCCUUUCCUUUUUUUCUUUCUCUCUGUUUCACUUGUGUAUGCUUCUGGUACUCGGUUUCUUGGUGAAAUAUUCUAUCAUACGGAACAUCCAACGAUCUAACAUUCCUGUUUAAGACCAUUACAUAACUAUAUUAGGCAAAUAUUUUUUUUGAAAAAUGACUAUUGAGACUAGAUAGAGAUGGGAUGGAACCUGUCAAAGCAAAGGUACCGCCUAACACAGCGCAAAGCCGUGUGAUCAAGUGGAGAAAACUACGGCGUUCUUCCUUGAUCGUCACAGUGAUUGGUGACAGGUCAUAUAAGAAGUAGACAGCUGAAAAUGAAAAAGAUCAUAGAUGCCAUCAACAAAGAGUAAUAAGAACCACUGGAAAUGAGGUUUGAUCGACUAACCUGGCCAUGUCCGGUCAAACGCGUUCAUUGGUGUGUAAUAUUCCGUUAAAGAGUACUGAUUCGUUGUCAGUAUGUCUUUUGAGAGAUAUCUAUAUUCCGUUGGAACAAUCUGCAAGCCGUACACCAGAAAGACAUCAACUAUAAAUAAUGUUCAUAUCUCAGUAUCUCACGAAAUGGAUCAUAAAGCUACUAGCCAGACCAGUAAGUGUCUUAAUGAGAGCAUACUUAAAGAUAUACAGCCAUGCAGAGAGAUGUAAGUGAAAAAAACAGUGAUGGAUUUAGAUAAAACACCUUAAUAUAGUAUUUGAAGGUUCCACUGGUGUCAUGCAGGAUUCGGUUUGUGCCAUCAAGUGGGUUGUGAAUUCCGGGGUACUUGGGCCCAAACGAUAGAUCAUGUAUCAUAUGGCUCACGUUUACGUUUUUGGACCCUCCAAAUAUCUGUUCAGAGGGUAAAAGAGAUCAGUUAGAUACUAUAGUAUGCAAAAUAGGCAAUAGGAGCAUGGAAUAUCAAAUAGUUAAAUCGGUGAAUGAGGUGCAAAAUGCAUUUACUGGCUUCCAUAUUGUCAUAUCAAUGGAAUCAAACAUCAAUAAUGGUCACAUGGUACUUAAUCAAACUAAAUUACCCAAUCUUGAGUUUAAAGUAUGUUCACUUGAUUAGUGGUUUCAGACACUUUUGCACUUAGAUGAUUUUAUAAAGAGAGAGAUAAUGAUACCAACCAUUUGAGCAACGUAGAUGUUCAGCCCGUGAACUGAAACGUGGAAGUUUCCAGCAACCCGUUGUACAUCUAGAACACCAUAAACCUGGGGGGAAACAGCCAAACAGAUCAGUCUCUGGUUUUCUAGUUUGUCUAUUGACAAAGGGAUGAGGUUCUAUACCCGACAUCCUUCUCCAUCCGCCAAUGCUUGCUUCACCUUUUUAAUCAUCGUCUCAGCAGCUUCGUCAAACCCAAGUAGAUUUAAAGCUUCCGUCUCAUUCUUGUGUUCAUCUUCAGCGAAGCACAAAAGAAACCAAAAUUGAAGUGAUUAAGUCUCUCAUAUAGUACGCCUCAACUAAACUUGUGAGAUUCUAAUAACGUAUUGAGAAAAUACACAUUCUAGCUUAGGUUUAGAAUGGUUACCGUGCUUGUGAGAUGAGUGAUCAUGCUCCUUUUCAACAAGAUCAGAUAUAUAUUCUGUGCCAAUGAUAUGACCAUGACUGUUGAGACGGAGCUGCAUAUACUCGUAGUUAGUGAGCAAUUAAAGUCUAUUAUAAACCAGUACACUAGAGAAAAAAAAAGACUUUGUGAUUUUUGCAUUAGCAUCUUGAUUCAUCUUACCUUCCAAAUGUUUGUAUCAAGAUCAACUUCAUGCUUCCCUGACAUGUCGAUAGCAUCCAUGCUCAAUACUAUAAAAAAAACAAAUAAAGAUCAAAAUGAUCAAAGUUUACAACCAUUACUAUUCCAGAAGGUAUGGAGAUAAGAAGUAUGCGAUCAAUGGAUUGGAAGUUUACCAUCACAAGGCAAAGAUGGGAACGUCAUAUUUACAUGAAUGGGAAGAGUUUCUCCACGCUUUAAGUCCACUGACAUCUACAAGAAACAUACAUGAUCCAUAUUACAUUUUGAUUACAGUGGGUACAUAUAUAAAGGAGAAAACCCACUACAAGCCAAGGAACAGGUUUUGAUGGAACCAAAAGACAUACCUGAUGCACUGUAAGUGUAUUAAGAUAGUAACUCAGCUCGCUCAAGAACAACGUAGCCAUUAUAAAGAGCCCAACAAUGGAUACUACAAAUAACCAAUAAAUCUAAGAUGUUAAUAAAUAAGCAAACACACAUCAAAGGAGAAGGGAAGAAGAAGAAGAAGAAAGCAUUACCAACGGCACCAGAUUGAGUUUUCUGAAGGAGAUGAUCCUCAGCUCUUGGGAACGCAUCGAUGCUCCUCAGAGCCUGCUUCACACCCAUCCUACCAAACUACAAAACCAACAUCAGAUAACCAAACAAUGUGGCACGAAUUCAACCAUCAAAUACCUCCCCCCCCCCCCCUUUCAAUACCCAUUUCUAUCUCUUUUUUUUAAUAUAUUUAUCGAUCUAAACAAGCAGAGAGCUUCUAUAGAGGUUUUAUCUUAAAAGGGGGUCUAACUCAAAAUCAACCAAUCAGAUAUGCAGGGUAAGAUUAAAAGGGGAUGGAUUUUCGAGAAUUAAUCUCGAAACCCACAUCUAAUUAAUCCAAAUUAAGACUUCUAGUAUGAUCUUCACCGGCCCUAGAUGUGAAAGUUCUCCUCUCUCUGAAGCGGAUGAAAGAAACGUAUGCGUAGAAUGGCAAUAACAAUGGCACGAAUCUAAGAUAUUCUAAAGGGAGAUAAUUUGAAACGGAGAUGGUACCUUGAAUUGAGGCUUAUGAGGAUGAGGCGCGUGCGCGUGCGCGUGCGACGAUAGAAAGGAUUGGGGAAGAAGAGAGAGAGAGAGAGAGAUCUCCAGGUCCGGAGAGACAAAAUCGAUGUUUGAACGGCGUCGCUCUUUUUCCGUCCUCUCAAUAUUUAUUUAUUGCUCCCUUAACUUAUUACAAAUUUCAAUUUAGCAUUACUAAUCUUAUUAUUUACGAAUCAACCCCUCAUAUUCUCAGAAGAUGAUCAUUUUGGGACAGUGAAAAUGUUUUCGAUCAUAGUGUACACAUAUAAGAUGCUUUCUUUUUUUUUUGUGCUAAAUAUAAGAUGCAUUUUCUUUUUUUCUUUUUUCUUUUUUUGGUGUAAAUAAGAUGCAUAUUUUAACUACUUUAUCGCAUUUUUUUCUUGAUAGUUAGCCUGUGGUUUUCAGUCUGUUUGAUAAUUCGUUCUUAGGUAAGAUUUUUAGUUUUAAUUGUAUAGGAAGAUAACGUUAUUGUUUGUUUUGUAAUCGCUUACGAUAGAUACAUUCUUAAAUCUGAAUAUGAUUUAAUCGACUGUUGUUGCCCAUUAUCGCCAGCGCACUGUGAAAUAAGUAUGCCAUUACAAGGUUUUUGUAUAUCUUAAAAGUGGUUAAAAAACCUUAUGAAGCAUUAGUGAUCUAGUUUCCUUGGUUUAAGUCUAGACUUAAUAUAUGUGCAAGUCAUGGAAAGUGGACCAGCUUCAACCAACACUAUAAAGCAAGUAUUAAAGACAAUCAUCUGCUAACAUUAAUCAUGAUGUGCGAUUUCCACAUGGCGGGAUUUUGGUUGUUGAUGAGAGUUAGAGACUGACAAGAAAGAAAAAACAAAAACAAAUUUGAUUGGGCCGAGUUAAUAACGUCAUUUGAUUUGAGAGAUUGGGAGUUUGGGACCCAUAAGCCCAAACAUAAACUCCCCGCCAUAAACUAACACCCAAAAGGAUGCUUUGUUAUACAAAGCAACUUCACGUUUUACAUAUGACUUCCAGACAACAAAACAUAUACAUUGGUGGUAUUGCUCUAGUUGCAUUGGUCCCCAAAACAAAUAGAUUGAUGGAAUCAGUUAGGAAGUUAUGUGAUAAACAUCUUUAAAAACAAGAUCUAAACCAUAUAUUCUAACUCUUUUUUUAGACUCACUGUUAGUAGAUUGGUGGGUUUACUUUAAUUGCACUGGUUCAUCUCUAUCUAUCUUAUUAAAGUAGAAGUAUUUUAAGUUUUUAUUUGACAAUAUAGAUAGCAGUUAAAAAAAAUAGUGUUGUUUGGAAACAUGGAUAGCAGUAAGUUACGGAAAAAAGUAACUGACAUUACGAAUCAACCCCUCAUAUUCUCAGAAGAUGAUCAUUUUGGGACAGUGAAAAUGUUUUCGAUCAUAGUGUACACAUAUAAGAUGCUUUCUUUUUUUUUUGUGCUAAAUAUAAGAUGCAUUUUCUUUUUUUCUUUUUUCUUUUUUUGGUGUAAAUAAGAUGCAUAUUUUAACUACUUUAUCGCAUUUUUUUCUUGAUAGUUAGCCUGUGGUUUUCAGUCUGUUUGAUAAUUCGUUCUUAGGUAAGAUUUUUAGUUUUAAUUGUAUAGGAAGAUAACGUUAUUGUUUGUUUUGUAAUCGCUUACGAUAGAUACAUUCUUAAAUCUGAAUAUGAUUUAAUCGACUGUUGUUGCCCAUUAUCGCCAGCGCACUGUGAAAUAAGUAUGCCAUUACAAGGUUUUUGUAUAUCUUAAAAGUGGUUAAAAAACCUUAUGAAGCAUUAGUGAUCUAGUUUCCUUGGUUUAAGUCUAGACUUAAUAUAUGUGCAAGUCAUGGAAAGUGGACCAGCUUCAACCAACACUAUAAAGCAAGUAUUAAAGACAAUCAUCUGCUAACAUUAAUCAUGAUGUGCGAUUUCCACAUGGCGGGAUUUUGGUUGUUGAUGAGAGUUAGAGACUGACAAGAAAGAAAAAACAAAAACAAAUUUGAUUGGGCCGAGUUAAUAACGUCAUUUGAUUUGAGAGAUUGGGAGUUUGGGACCCAUAAGCCCAAACAUAAACUCCCCGCCAUAAACUAACACCCAAAAGGAUGCUUUGUUAUACAAAGCAACUUCACGUUUUACAUAUGACUUCCAGACAACAAAACAUAUACAUUGGUGGUAUUGCUCUAGUUGCAUUGGUCCCCAAAACAAAUAGAUUGAUGGAAUCAGUUAGGAAGUUAUGUGAUAAACAUCUUUAAAAACAAGAUCUAAACCAUAUAUUCUAACUCUUUUUUUAGACUCACUGUUAGUAGAUUGGUGGGUUUACUUUAAUUGCACUGGUUCAUCUCUAUCUAUCUUAUUAAAGUAGAAGUAUUUUAAGUUUUUAUUUGACAAUAUAGAUAGCAGUUAAAAAAAAUAGUGUUGUUUGGAAACAUGGAUAGCAGUAAGUUACGGAAAAAAGUAACUGACAUUUUUUUUUGUCAUCGACUUAUACAGAUUCAUACUGACUCUGUAAACCAAACCGGGUGAUCUGUAUCCAUGUGAACGACGAAAGACGGCUGCUUCCUAACACUGUGUGCUAUUCUAUCCGCCUUUGUAUUUUGCGUCCGUGGUACAUAGAUAAUCUCUGAUCGGGUGAAACUCUCUUUUAGAUUCUUGACAUCUUCCAAAUAAUUUGCAAAAGCUGGUCAUUCUUCUGGUUCCGAAACCAUCUUCACCAAUUGAGAACAAUCCGUUGCAAACGUGACAUGAAAUUGACGUAAAUUCCUCAUACAUACCAUUGCCCAUAGUAGCGCUUCCAUCUCUGCAUGAAGGGGAGAUAGACUAUCCCGAACAUUCAUUCCCCCCAACAAUCCAUCGAAUCCUUCUAAAGUGUUGUACCAAGCUUGUCCUGAAAAAGUAUCACCCUCUUUCCAUGAGCCAUCCACAAAACACCAUCUUCCUGGAAUUGACGGCAAGGUCGUAUCUGCUAUUUGUGGUAUUGUCCUCUGCUCCUUCAAAAUCUGUGUCUCAGCCCACAAUGUUGAUUCUGUUUCUGCCAAUUUAAGCGUAUCCAAAGGAUCAAUGUCUAGAUUAUUGAAAACUUUAGUAUUCAUAGCUUUCCAGAUAUACCAUAGUAUCCAUGCAAACUGUUGAUCUUUCAUCUGCGGAACAACUCUCUAGAACAGAUGAUCCAAAUUUGUGAAGAGAGCACUUGUCGGAAAGAUAGAUGGGUUUGAUGGUUUCUUCGAUAGCGCCCAAACCUGAAUUUCUGAAAAGUAACGGACUUAUGCUAUUAAAAAAAUUGGAAAUUCAUUACAUUUUAUUAAAAAGUAACGGGUUUAUCCUUACUUGAUAUACAUAUUCAAAUCAAAAUAAUAAUUUAAAAUUCAUUUAUAUCAUAUUCAAAAUUUGAUUUUUACUAACAUAUUUUCCAAUAACCAUUAUAAAAAUGUUUUCAAUAUAUAUAAGAAAUAUACAAUACAAAGCCCAAUUUCAAACACCAACUUAAAUUAUGGUUUUUAUAUUUCACAUUAAAAUUUAAAAAUAUAAUAUAUGUGAUUAUUUAUAUGAUUGUACGUAUAAAAUAUUAUUAAUUAUAAGAAAACUUAUUUGAUGGUAUGUAUAAAAUACGAUUAAUUAUAUGAUAACACAUAUUUUUGUAGCCAAUGAUGACACAUAUAUGAUAUAUAAUAGUGAUUAGGGGUGGGCAUUCGGGUUCGUUUUCGGGUCUGUUUGGGAUUUUGUGUUCGGUUCAGAUCUUUGAGGAUUCGGUUCAGAUUUGGAUAACCAAUUUAAAUUGGUUUGGUUUAAAUAUUUGGAUAGAUAAUUAAUAAUUAUUUAAGUAUUUUUGGAGUUUUGAAUAUAUUUUAACUAUUUUGGGGAAAUUACAUGUUUACCACUUUCAUGCUACCACUUUUCAUUUUCAACACCAAUAAAGAGACAUUUUCAAAAAUACAUUCUUUAUUAAGUGGCAAAACACUUUUAUGCUCUUGUUCUUUAUAUAUAUAUAAUAAUAAAUAUUUAAAUAAAUUUUAACUUUUUAUCGAAUUAUACUAUUUCGAAUUUCAAACCUUAAACCCUAAAACUUAACUAUAAACUCUAAACCAUCAAUCCUAAACUCUAUUUUGUUUUUAAAUACGAACCCAAAACCCUAAACCCUAAACCAUCAAUCCUAAAUCCUAUUUUUUUAAAAUACGAACCCUAAACCCUGAAACAUCAACUCUAAACCCUAAACCCCGAAACAUCAACUCUAAACCCUAAACCCUAAACCUUCAACUCUAAACCCUAAACUUCAACUAUAAACCCUAAACCAUCAACACUAAACCCUAAACUAUCAACACUAAACCCUAAACUCUAAAAAGUAAACUCUAAACCCUAAACCCUAAAAAAAUAAACCCUAAACCCUAAAACAUCAACUCUAAACCCUAAACCUUCAACUCUAAACCCUAAAUCCUAAACCCUAAAUCCUAAACCCUAAACCCUAAACCCUAAAACCUUAGAGUUGAUGUGUUAGUGUUUAGAUUUGAAGGUUUAGGGUUUUAGGGUUUAGGGUUUACGUUUAUGGUUUAGAGUUGAUGUUUUAGGGUUUAAAUUUGAAGGUUUAGGGUUUUAGGGUUUAGGAUUCGAAUUUCAUAAAAGUAUAUGGUUUAGGGUUUAUGUUUAGGGUUUAGAGUUGAUGUUUUAGGGUUUAGAUUUGAAGGUUUAGGAUUUAGAGUUUAGAGUUGAUGUUUCGGGGUUUAGGGUUUAGGGUUUGGAGUUGAUGUUUCAUGGUUUAGGGUUUAGAGUUGACGAUUUAGGGUUUAAAGUUGAUGUUUUAAGUUUAGAUUUAGGGUUUAGGGUUUACGUUUAGGGUUUAGAGUUGAUAUUUUAGGGUUUAGAUUUGAAGGUUUAGGGUUUAAGGUUUAGGGUUUAGAGUUGAUUUUUCGGGGUUUAGGGUUUAGAGUUGAUUUUUCGGGGUUUAGGGUUUAGAGUUGAUGAUUUAGGGUUUAAAGUUGAUGUUUUAAGUUUAGAUUAGUUAAUCGUUUGUUUUUUUUGUCAAAGUUAAUGAAAAGGUUAUAAAUGUCUUUUAUCUUUAAUUAAAGAUGAGGGUAAAAGUGGUUAGUGUAAACAUAAAAAGUGAUACUUUGAAAAUGCUAUUUUUGGCAAUUUCUCAUCCAUUUUAGAUAUUUACGUUUGAUUAUUUGUAUAUAUUUUCAAGUAUUUAAAUGAACUUAAAAGUAUCAUAUAUAUUCUGGAUUGUUUAAUAUAUAUUAAAUCUAAAAAUAAUUAAUAUAUAUAAGUAUAUAAAUCUAUUUUGGAUACCUAAAAUGCUUCAGUUCAGAUCAGAUUACGUUUCAGUUCUUCAAAUACCAAAAUUUUGAAUAAUGCAGAUAUUUAAUCAAUUUCGGUUCGGAUUUGAUACUACUUAUUCGGAUUGAGAUCAGUUCGAUUCUUCAAAUUCGAGUUUUUUGUCCAACCUAAAUAGUGACAAAAAAAAUUGCAUCAUAUUUUUUUUGAAAUACAUUCACGCUCGUCAAAAUCUAGUAGACAUUAAACAACUAUACUCAAGUCCAUAAAGCUUGCAAAGGAUAAAAUCAACAGCUUCGAAGAACUGUGGUUUGACAAUUGGAGCAAUUGGCAAGUCGUUGGUCUUCAGCCUAAUUUUCCUUCUUCUGAUUCCUACUUUCCAGAGUGAUAUUUUUCCUCUCUGACCUCUCCCAUCUUUUUCUGUUUCUUGUGUUUUAAUAUAUCUCCUGCAAGCUUUGUAUUUUCUUUCCUUUGUUCACCUCUGUAAACUAUUUUCUAAAUGUUUAAUUAUGAAAGCCAGUUUAAAAAAAUUCCAUAAAGAUUAUAUGUUAAUAAAUCUAGCUGAGAGUAAGCACACUGAUAAUAUAUACAGAUAAACUCUUGCUAAUUACAGCCCUCUAGUUAAUUUUUUAGGGUGAAUAAACCUUUCUGAAAUUGUAUCUCUUAGAUUAAUCAUCCUCUCUUAAUACAUAAUUAGUGUUGUGUACUUCCUCAUAAGGUCAUGCCAUAAUGUCGCGGGUCAAAUGGUCUGUGUCGUAAAAGUAGAUAAACAUCAAAACACUGGCCACAUCUUUUCACUUACAUAUUUCGAUCAAAGUCACAUUAAUUUCCCAUGCGUCCCCUUCUCAACUUAAUAAUCAUGUUCUUGUCUUCUUAUUCUUAAUUAAAAAAAUAAAAGAAAAAAGGAGAGCACGUGACUUGUGAAACGUGAACAGUUUGCAAAACUUGCAAAAUGCAUGCUUCACGUGUGUUAAUUCAUCCACUAAUGUCAACUUCUCAAUACCUACCUUUAACUUUAGUCUUGCUUUUCCCACUUCAAUCCUCACUUGCAUCCAGUUAUGACACAUUUUCUCUUAAAUUUAGUUUUCAUUUAUUUUUAGCCAUUUCGAUUAAACCAGCUCGUGUUUGAUGUGUGAACUAUGAACUACAUAUACAGAUGAAUUAUGUUAUAGAUUUUGAGUGGUACUGGUAAACUAGCUAGUGAGAUAUGGUAAUCUGAGUCCAUUAAUUAACAUAAAUUAUACAAUUUUCCAGUUAUCAAAAUAAAUAUGUGAGCGAAAAAAAGAAAUGCUUUCUGUAAUGCAAUAAAGUGAUAAAACAAAAGAAAAAGAAAAAGAAAGGAACUGAUCUUUUUUUUUUUUUUUUUUAACACCGAGAAAGGAACUGAUCACCAGCCUCUUUUAGGAAUCGACUUUCUAUUUGUGGGAAGUGUAUUAAACCAAACUUCUCCAAACUCCACAUGGUACAAACACUGCAUGUGGCCAAUAUUUCUCCAAACAUAAAAGUCAAGCUCUUAAUUUUGCCUUGAUAUUCUUUUGAAACAGUUUAUAUACUGAUAGUUCAAAAGAAUUAUUUUAAUUUGAUAAAACACAACACUGAUGCAACAUUAACGUAUAUCAGUGUAUGUGUUAUGCAUUUGCACAUAUACAUAUAUAUAUAUAUAUACUAUGCUAACUCAUAUAGUUAUAGUUGAAUAUACAUUGAACAUGUAUAUAUUGAACAACUAAACCUUAUAACAACAAAUAUAAAUAAUUUGUAGCACACAAUAUUAAUACACAGAAUUAUGUAAAUGGAGUUAUUAAUAGUAAUACAUACAAACCUGCAAACAACUAAUAUAAUUAUUAACUAGGUGAUAACCCGCGCCCUGCGCGGAGCAAGUGAACAAAAGCGAUUUUUAUUUUUUAAUUUAUCGAUAUUAAAAAAUUAAAAUUAUAGGCACAAAUAUUAGAGAACUACAUAUACAGAUGAAUUAUGUUAUAGAUUUUGAGUGGUACUGGUAAACUAGCUAGUGAGAUAUGGUAAACUGAGUCCAUUAAUUAACAUAAAUUAUACAAUUUUCCAGUUAUCAAAAUAAAUAAGUGAGGGAAAAAAAGAAAUGCUUUCUGUAAUGCAAUAAAGUGAUACAACAAAAGAAAAAUAAAAAGAAAGGAACUGAUCUUCUUCUUUUUUUUUAACACCGAGAAAGGAACUGAUCACCAGCCUCUUUUAGGAAUCGACUUUCUAUUUGUGGGAAGUGUAUUAAACCAAACUUCUAUAAACUCCACAUGGUACAAACACUGCAUGUGGCCAAUAUUUCUCCAAACAUAAAAGUCAAAGCUCUUAAUUUUGCCUUGAUAUUCUUUUGAAACAAUUUAUAUACUGAUAGUUCAAAAGAAUUAUUUUAAUUUGAUAAAACACAACACUGAUGCAACAUUAACGUAUAUCAGUGUAUGUAUUAUGCAUUUGCAUAUAUAUAUAUAGCUAACUCAUAUAGUUAUAAUUGUAUACACAUGAAACAUGUAUAUUGAACAACUAAACCUUAUAACAACAAAUAUAAAUUUAAUUUGUAGCACACAAUAUUAAUACACAGAAUUAUGUAAAUGGAGUUAUUAAUACAUACAAACCUGACGAUCAACAAAUAGAAUUAUUAAAAAAAAACAAGUAGAAUUAUUAAUUCAUUCAAUACACAAAAAUAUGUAAGAUAUAUUUCACUAACAUAACACUAGAAUUAUUAAUUCAUUAAAUACACAAAAUUAUGUAAAAUUAAUUACAAACACUAAAACAUACCACAAACGACCAAAUUACAAAGGUAUGCAUUUUUUUGUUUCAUUAAUGAAAAUGAAAGAUGAUACAGGUUGUUUAAGUCCCAAAAAAGAUGGAAAAGACUUAAGGAACAAACUAGUAGAUUUAAGUUUCGAAAACGAAUUUUAAAGCUACAAUUUUUGAUCAAAUCACCGCUAAAGCGGAUAGGAAAUCCGACGACGCCAAUCGGCACGAGCCCCACCUUGGUAAAAGGUGUGGCACGUGCCACAUACUGAUUAAUAUAAUUUUCAUGUGAAAUGCUAGGACAUAUAAAAAUAUGUAGCCCUUUUGGUCUAAAUUGAUAUACCGUGUCCCACCCAAAACUAAGUUUGAAACUAUUAAAUUGCCUUUUUAGUUUCUACUCUUCGAUACAUUUUUAAUUACUUUUUAAUAAAAUAUUUUUCUUUAUUUUUGUUACCUAAGACUAUUUUUUAUUUUCUGAGUUUUCUACGUACUUUUUUGGUGAAAGUUGUCUAGAUAGUUACUAUUUUAUAAAAUAUUUUUUUCUUCCUCGUGUUUACUUAGAAUUCUAUUUUUUCUUUUUUUCUAUAAUAUUUUUCUUUGCCUUUCUAAUACUAAAUUUCUAUAAAAACUAUAGUUUAUUCUAAUUUUAACAAUUAUUCUACUAUUUUUAAUUUUUCAAUACUUAGAUUAACAAAACUAAGAGAAAUAAAGGUUUUAACUAUUAUAUGCAGUAUAUAAUUUAUAACAUUACUUAAAAUGAAGAUUUAAAUUUGUGAAAAUUAACUAUCAAGAAUAAAAAAAAUAUUGUUUAUAUGGUUCAUUUAAAAAUAAGAUGUAAAACUCAAGUCCCUAAUGUUAAUUUUUGUAAAAAAAAAAAAUUCAGUUCCGUUAAUUAUUUAAUAAUUUAAUUUUAUUUAUUGUGCCACACAUUAGAAUUUUUUUUUGAUCCGCCCCUACUCCCGACGACGCUUCAAAACAACGAACUCUGGUCAGAGUCCCCCGAAGACGCUUUGAGCACAAACCGAAUACAAGAUCAGAGAGACUCGCUUUGGUCCUUAAGUCUUUGGUCAGAUGAAAACCUGUAAAUGAUAGAUAAAACUUGUGAAUGUUCUAAAACUUAUUUUUAAAAUUCAAGUCUUUCUUAGAACAAAAUUUACAGCUAUAGAAAGUUUGGACUUGAAUUUAGGUACAUAUAGUUUACAUGAUAGUUCAAUAAUACAUGGUUUGACUAUUCUGACGUUAAUCGGGAAGCAUUCCACUCGAAUCAAGCGAUAUGACAGUCCUAAACGUAUUCUUAUUUAAACUGAUCGAAUCAGUCCUAAACAUAUAUAUAGAUUACAAAGUUAUAACCUGUAUGUAACUCAAGAUACUUCCUCAGACACUUUGAUUGAUAUAUGCAUUCUUACCGGUUCCGCCUACUUUUUCCUUUAAAAUACCUUUUCCUUCGUGUUGAAAACAUGAAGCACGUGACCAGAUUUGCAGAUAUUUGUUAUUUUUAAUUUCCUCAAAAAAAAAUAAAAGUUUAUAGCACGUUCUUAUUCAGACUUUAUAUGCAAGUAUUUCUAUAACUUGACUUCCAUAAACUGACCAAGCAAGAAGAAUCUUUACGCAGAGAGGAUCAUAUGGAGAAUUGCAGCUUAGAUCUCUGCCUAUCUCCAGUGACCUCUUCACUUCAAUCUUGUCACCGAGAUUCCAAGUGAGUUUUUCUUGUUCAGUUCCAACUUCAUUAUAUUGCCUCCAUUUAAACCUCUCUUCUUAACUCGUUUUGCUAUGUACAGGGUUAGUCAAUCUUUAGCCACGAGAACUAAGGAGAUCAAUGCAUUCUAUAAUGGGAGAGUACGAGAAUACGAUCUCGUAGAGAUCCAGGUAGCUUCUCUAUCUGCUCUUGUACAUAUGUUGUCGAUUUAUUCUUUUUUUUUAUUAAUGAUUGAUAAAUACAUUGAUGAACAUACGAAGAUAAGGGCGGUAAUAGAGAUGGCGAGCAAGGAGCGUGACAUAACGGUGUUAGAGUUAGCACCGGUUAGACUAGAAUCGCCCUUAGUGUUUCCGGUGAAGAGAUCAGUGGAGAGGUUUUUGGAGAAGAGAAAGAAGAGAAGCAAAUAUGUUACUACACCUUACAGUUACACUUGCAGCUCCACGUCUUCCUCCUCUUCGCAUCAUUUCUAAAACCCCACUUAUUUUUGUCAUUUUUCCGUAUACUCAACGGUGAACUUCGAGUUUUUUUUUCAAUCUUGUUUUUAAAUCAAGAUGUUUCAUUUGUAUAAAACUCGGAUCAUUUGGAUCGCUUGUAUUAGUUGUGUUCUCCUCAUCUAUAAUAGCAUAUCAUUUAGUAAAAUACGAAAAAUGCACACUUUAACAAACAAAUAUAGAGAAACAUUUAAAAAGUUAUAACCUUUUGUUCGUAUUAAUUAAAAAAGUGCUCUGCUGAUUUGUCACGUAAUUAGAAUGCUAAUUUUAUUUACGUGGCAGUUUGAGAAUCAAAUGAGAACUAGAUUUUGACCCGUGCUUAGAAAACGCAGACUUGUUUGUUUUUCAUUUAUUGAUCGAAAACUGAUUUACAAACUACCAUUAUUUUUGUUUUGAACCAUAACAAUUGAGUUUUUAGGUUUUUAUCAUUUGUUUUUUUUUUCUUUUCAAAAUAUGGUAUUUUUUCGAAAUAUGGUAGUUGUUCUAAUAAAGUUUGAGUUUUAAGAUUUGUUUCAUAUUCGACCUAGAUUCAUGGUUGAACCUAUAGAUCCGAUACAUCGUAUAUAAUCCGGUUCAGAUUUAAUUAAAAAUCCGAUAUACCCCGGUAAAAACCAAAAAACUCACUAUUAACCUGCGAUCUGAUACCAUUGAUCCGAAAAAACAUAAAAUAUCUGAUAGUGUUUUUUAGAAAAAAUUGAUUAAAUGACUCAUAUUUCUUUUAAUAUUACAUAAAUUAGUGAUUCCUUAGAAUUUGAUGAAAUUUUAUUAUGUCAUCCAAAUAAAAAAAUGAUAAUAUAAGAAAACUUAUUGAUAUGACAACAUUAGUUUAUUUUCGUUAUUAAUAACCUAUUAUAAGUUUAUGUUUUUAUUUUAGAUUUAAAAUUUUAUUUUAAGAUAGUUUUUAAAAUAUUAUUGAACACUCGUAAUUGCCAUAUCAAUAUUAUGUAUAAAAUGACAUUAUACAUGAAAAAAAUGAUAUUCAAAUAUGUAUAUGAUAUAUGAUUUAGGAUAAAAUGAAUUUUAUUAAUCCCCUAUAAAAAUAAGGGUAUUUUUGAGAAAAUUGUAAUUUUUCAUUAAGGGUAAAAUUUGGGAAUGAUCUUCUUUUAAUAGUAUUGAUUUUUUUAGUCAAAAACUAAAUUGCUAGGAAAUGUUAUAUUAUAUAGUAUGUCCAUUAUAGACCAUUCAUUUAUCAAAUUGAAAUUAUUAUAUAUUAUUUCCUUGAAUAAAACCAACGAAAUUACCUUGUGAUUAAGAUAUAUAUGACGAUUAAUGAUUUUAAAUAAUAAAGAUUUGCUAACAAUUUGUAUACUUUCUAUCAUUUUUGUUUAAUUAUUUAUUAUUAAAAUAAAUUACAUAAUUACAUUAAUCAUAUAAUAAAAUUUUAGAUUUUUUUUUUGUAUAAAUUGUAUUUUAAAAAAUUUCAAAACGAGUAUAAAUUACUAAAACUGUUGAAAGUCUCACAUAAACUUUUGUGAUCAAGGUUUAAAUUUUUUCUAUAAUAAGAUACAAUGAUUAUAAAAUCAUAUGAAUAAAUAAUUUUAUUUUAAUAGGUGUCGAUGUUAAUAUAUAUAUAUAUAUAUCAUAUCGUUUAAAUUAAACUAUACAUCAUAUGAAAAUACAUACUUAUAUUUUGAUAUCUUUGUUGAACAUAUAUACAAAUGUUAAUAUUUUAAUUUUGAAAUCUUCAUUAUUUUUUUAAAAUGAUUAUAAAUUAUUGAAACCACUAAACAUUCCACAUUAAAAAAAAUCAUUGGUGUAAAAUUUUGCUACACAAAUAUAAAAAUAAUCAUAAAAUCAUAUGAGUAAAAACCUCAUUUAAUAAAUAUUCAUAUUAAAAGUAUAAUAUAUAUCUAUGUUAAUAUCAUUUAAAUUUAAUCAUAUAUCAUAUACGAUAGAUAAGAUUGUUUGUUUUGAUUUAUUUACCGUAAAAUGAUUGCGGAUAAACAAGAGCGGUCGUUUGAUUUAUAUGCGUAUACCGAUUUAUUACAUAAUAGUAACUGAUUUUUUAGUUAUUUAAUAUAUAAUUAUUAUUUUAUUAUUUCAUAAUAUGCAGAAAAACAUAAAAUAAACAAUAAAUAUAAAAUAUUUAUUCUGCUCAUGGUCCGGAUCUCAACCUAAGUAUUUAUCUUUUUAAUAAUUUUAAAUUUUAAAUCUUAAACAUUUUCUAAAUCUCAGGCCAAAACAAAAUAACGAAAUGAGAAUAAACUCAAAAAUCAAUAUUUAUAUCAAGCAAUAACCAAAAUGAAAAAAACGACACAAAAACGAGAAAAAUAUUGAAGAUAUAUAGGAUUGGCACGUGAACGUAAACUUGUCAUAACUAUAAUUAACUUUUAAAUUGCUAAAUCAUGAUAUCAAAUCGAGCUGCUAUAAUUUCAUUGUAACUAAAUAGUAGACCUGAGAAUUUCCGGCCUAAACGUUAGGUUCUUAUGCGAUAAGUGAUUUUUUGACCAAAAAUAUUUAUAAAAAUGGGAUCAGCUCAUGAGUAAACAAAUUAUUUAAUUAACUAUAAAAAUUUUAAAGGCCAAAAAUAUUUAUUCGAUCAAGGAUAUAAAUUUUAUUUAUCCAUACGAUAUUUCUUAAAUAAUUUUCAUAUAAAUUCACUCUGCGCAAGGCGCAUGUCUCAUCCUAGUCUACAUUAUAAUGAUGCACUUUGUUCACUCUUCAGGACGUCACGUCAGCGUUUUGUGGACCUCACUUUUAAAAACUAUGUAAAAAUAUCAUGUCCAUGGCUCGAACCCGGGUUACUGAGAUAUAAACACCAACAUUUAUACCACUAAACUAAAGGAUACUUUGGACAUUGAUGACCGAAACUAAUAUAUAUUUAUGAAGGUCGGAAGCCCUUGCUUCUCUGGCUUCCUCUGAGGGUCGGGCCUACAAGUGUAUUAUGGAUUUUAUUUUUAAGUGGGAUUCUUCAUGUUAUAUGAAAAAAGCUCAAGUUUGCAACAAUUAUAGUUUUCUCAUAUUAUAAACUGUCGUUGUUUAACAUGAGUUAGAGUUCUUUUCAUCAUUGUCUCAGACAAGUCUGAGUUACAAAGUUGCGCCGUGUGUCUGUUCGUAAUCUAUUUUUUCACCGGUGAACUCUUCAUCUCCCCCAUCUUAAAUUGAUUGAUCAUAAAUGUUCCUGAUUUCUAUCCCCUCUGUAAACCCUAUAUAUAUGAUUCUCAUUGUUGAUGAACCCAAUCUGCAUCUCGACAAAACUCAUUGAUUCCUCUUAGCUUUAACCAUCUUCUAGAAAAUGCCUCUCUCUGUCUCUCCAGUUCCUCAAACCGAUGUCUCCGGCGUUCGUCACUCAACCUUCGAGUCUCUCCGUCUUGGUCGUAGUAGUCAGAGCAUAGCCUCUGGCCUCCUCCGCUUCUGAGAUUCCCUGAACUUCAAGAAAGACGUGGAGUUUAUGGGAAUCACGGUUCUCUUCCUUGAUGAAAAAGUAAGUUAAUUUUCGAUCUAUCACACUUAUUUAACAUAAUUGUUUUUAAUUGAUUUUCUGAUUUUUUGUUGAAUAAUAUUAUUUGCAGAUUCCGUGAUUCAUGAGUUUAUUACCGUCGGACCUGCUAAUCAUUACAUGUCAUCUUUGAAAGCCGGUUCCAUUGUGAAAGUCGAUUGUUUUGAGGUUGCUAGGUGCUCAAGCAUGUACAAGAUAACUGAUCAUCCAUUCGUCAUUCGUUUCAUCUCACCAACCAUUAUUGAUGAAGUCAUCACAAGUGCUCUUGAGAUCAAUCUCUAGUCAUGAUUAGAUUGUUCGACAAUCUCCAAGUGAUUGCGAACACAAACCUAAAAUUUCCAGGUAUAUUAUCAUAUUGCAUAUGGGUUUAUAUUAUGUUUCGAAAUCAUAACUGAUAUUUCAACUCGUAGAUGUGGUUGAGCAAAUCCGUUUUUUUCAGGGCUCUGACCUCACCAAAGAAACAACUCGAGUCGUUAUCCAUCUCCUCAUUGAUCCGUAAGAAACAAUUAACACACAAUUCCCUUUAUAUUACUGUCUAUAUUGUGCUAACAUCAAUAAUCAAAAAUAUUUCCUACCCAAUAUAUGUGGUCGUCUAUUUAUCUCCUUUACUUAUCAAACUAAUUUUACACAAACCUUUAUUUUACAGCUUAAAAGAAACCACAACAACCCAAACAAUCAAAACACCAAAAACUAGAAUCCAAAAAAACGAAUCAUUAAUGAUCACCUCUCUUUUUGUCUAAUCUUACAAAUAAACUUCAAAACAAAUAUACCAAACCAAUCACCUCAACUAAAACUUAACGACACAUACAUCGAGUCAGCUAAACAAAUACAAACUACACGGCCAACUAUUUAACAAUUUACAAACUUUCUUUCGCAGAUGCUUACGAAGAAGACGAAGACGACAAUCAAGAUCAGUGAAAUUACCUAAACGAAAAAGCAGAGUAAGUAAUGAACUAUGAUAAAUACAACUAACAAUGAUUUUUUUUUACAUAUUACCCAUCAAAUAAAAGAGAAACAAACACAACCACACCAUGAGAUACAAGAGACAAUCCCGACAGACACAAAGGCGGCAACAACAUCUCCACCUGCUCACUCCUCUUGUCUUAUGAAAAUAGCUUACAUGCCCAAUGUCAACAAGCCAAUGCUAUUUUCUUCUUAUGAAAAAUACAUAUAUUCGUUUAAAACCCAUUAAGGCCCAAAUACUCAGAAUUAUCACUCAUUUUAUAGUUAUUUCUACAAGUCUUCAUGUAUUUGUUUUAAAGGUUCGGUAAAAGCAACAAGUUUAAAAAUAAAUACAUAUAACAAACAUAAUAAGAAUAAUACAAAUUAUUACUUAAUACACACAACUUACACAACUAAACUGGAGAAAAAAAUUCGAGAAAAAUAUCCAACAACCUUAAUAUAAUCUAUGUACUCUCAACAAUACAAAAAACAAAUUAAAAAAACAAACAAACAAUAAAUCUCAGUGACACAGCAAGCAACACCACAAACUAUAUCAAUCACAUUACUAACACAGUUUAAUCCUUCAUAAGUGGAGAACAAUGCAUACAUAGUUAAUUAUCACAACUCUAACCCUAUAACAAUAAAAAACUUGAAAAACAAUGAUCAACCCAAAAAGCAAAAUUCACGACUACAAUAACCUUAACAAAUAUUAAGAUGAAACAAAAAUUAUGUCCACAAACUCCGCUCUUGCGCUUAUUAAUGAGAGAAUGCAAAAAUGAAGCUAGGCGGAUACACCAACGAGUAGCACAGCACUAACAGAGUAUAUAACUAGCAUAGGAACUUGUAGAUUACACGUCGUUCAACGAGUAGCCCAGCACUAACAGAGUAUAUAACUAGCAUAGUGAUCUUGUAGAUUACACGUCGUUCACCAUCUGCGCUUAGUCAUUCACCAUUACAAAAACUUUGUCUUAUUGCAUCAGUAUAAGAAACGAGAAAGUCAAUUCCAAUAAUAAGAUAGAUACUUUCAAGAUUCUGUAUGUACCAAACAAUACUUGGUAAAACCAAAGAAAAAUACUAAACCAGCUCUACAUAAAGUGUACACUCAACUCUCAUCACAAAAAAAAGUAAAAGAGGAGCCCAUAAAACGAAAUUUUGUAACAACCAAGCGAGAGAGGCAACAAUAUAAGUAAGAAAGAAAGAGAUAGAUCCAAGAGUUUUCAAAAGAGGGUUUUGUGGGAAACAUGUCAGAAUAACAAACUUCUAACUCCUUUUCCCAGAGCAGCUCUGCUUCCACAUCCUACAACCUGUUAAUCCAAGAGAUGGCUAGCGCCUAAUCCUGCUCUAGCUCCAAUCUCACCGGAUAAAGGGGUUCAUCAUCAUUCUACACACAAGCACUAAUAUCAUUCCCCAAACUUCCAAAUUACCCUAACAAUAUGGAGUUUUCAACAUAAAGAGAGCAACAACAUAUAGCUCCCUACUCCAUGUUUCACAUUCUUUCCCAUCAUCUUUAAUACACAAACCAAGCAGAGUUUGCAUUUGUCAACCAUAUAAUAACAAUAAAAAGAGUUCAAAGUUAAAAAAAAAAAAAAAAGAGAGAUCAGAAUCUAAAAGCACUUUUUUACACAAACCUUUAUUUUACAGCUUAAAAGAAACCACAACAACCCAAACAAUCAAAACACCAAAAACUAGAAUCCAAAAAAACGAAUCAUUAAUGAUCACCUCUCUUUUUGUCUAAUCUUACAAAUAAACUUCAAAACAAAUAUACCAAACCAAUCACCUCAACUAAAACUUAACGACACAUACAUCGAGUCAGCUAAACAAAUACAAACUACACGGCCAACUAUUUAACAAUUUACAAACUUUCUUUCGCAGAUGCUUACGAAGAAGACGAAGACGACAAUCAAGAUCAGUGAAAUUACCUAAACGAAAAAGCAGAGUAAGUAAUGAACUAUGAUAAAUACAACUAACAAUGAUUUUUUUUUACAUAUUACCCAUCAAAUAAAAGAGAAACAAACACAACCACACCAUGAGAUACAAGAGACAAUCCCGACAGACACAAAGGCGGCAACAACAUCUCCACCUGCUCACUCCUCUUGUCUUAUGAAAAUAGCUUACAUGCCCAAUGUCAACAAGCCAAUGCUAUUUUCUUCUUAUGAAAAAUACAUAUAUUCGUUUAAAACCCAUUAAGGCCCAAAUACUCAGAAUUAUCACUCAUUUUAUAGUUAUUUCUACAAGUCUUCAUGUAUUUGUUUUAAAGGUUCGGUAAAAGCAACAAGUUUAAAAAUAAAUACAUAUAACAAACAUAAUAAGAAUAAUACAAAUUAUUACUUAAUACACACAACUUACACAACUAAACUGGAGAAAAAAAUUCGAGAAAAAUAUCCAACAACCUUAAUAUAAUCUAUGUACUCUCAACAAUACAAAAAACAAAUUAAAAAAACAAACAAACAAUAAAUCUCAGUGACACAGCAAGCAACACCACAAACUAUAUCAAUCACAUUACUAACACAGUUUAAUCCUUCAUAAGUGGAGAACAAUGCAUACAUAGUUAGAAGAAGACGAAGACGACAAUCAAGAUCAGUGAAAUUACCUAAACGAAAAAGCAGAGUAAGUAAUGAACUAUGAUAAAUACAACUAACAAUGAUUUUUUUUUACAUAUUACCCAUCAAAUAAAAGAGAAACAAACACAACCACACCAUGAGAUACAAGAGACAAUCCCGACAGACACAAAGGCGGCAACAACAUCUCCACCUGCUCACUCCUCUUGUCUUAUGAAAAUAGCUUACAUGCCCAAUGUCAACAAGCCAAUGCUAUUUUCUUCUUAUGAAAAAUACAUAUAUUCGUUUAAAACCCAUUAAGGCCCAAAUACUCAGAAUUAUCACUCAUUUUAUAGUUAUUUCUACAAGUCUUCAUGUAUUUGUUUUAAAGGUUCGGUAAAAGCAACAAGUUUAAAAAUAAAUACAUAUAACAAACAUAAUAAGAAUAAUACAAAUUAUUACUUAAUACACACAACUUACACAACUAAACUGGAGAAAAAAAUUCGAGAAAAAUAUCCAACAACCUUAAUAUAAUCUAUGUACUCUCAACAAUACAAAAAACAAAUUAAAAAAACAAACAAACAAUAAAUCUCAGUGACACAGCAAGCAACACCACAAACUAUAUCAAUCACAUUACUAACACAGUUUAAUCCUUCAUAAGUGGAGAACAAUGCAUACAUAGUUAAUUAUCACAACUCUAACCCUAUAACAAUAAAAAACUUGAAAAACAAUGAUCAACCCAAAAAGCAAAAUUCACGACUACAAUAACCUUAACAAAUAUUAAGAUGAAACAAAAAUUAUGUCCACAAACUCCGCUCUUGCGCUUAUUAAUGAGAGAAUGCAAAAAUGAAGCUAGGCGGAUACACCAACGAGUAGCACAGCACUAACAGAGUAUAUAACUAGCAUAGGAACUUGUAGAUUACACGUCGUUCAACGAGUAGCCCAGCACUAACAGAGUAUAUAACUAGCAUAGUGAUCUUGUAGAUUACACGUCGUUCACCAUCUGCGCUUAGUCAUUCACCAUUACAAAAACUUUGUCUUAUUGCAUCAGUAUAAGAAACGAGAAAGUCAAUUCCAAUAAUAAGAUAGAUACUUUCAAGAUUCUGUAUGUACCAAACAAUACUUGGUAAAACCAAAGAAAAAUACUAAACCAGCUCUACAUAAAGUGUACACUCAACUCUCAUCACAAAAAAAAGUAAAAGAGGAGCCCAUAAAACGAAAUUUUGUAACAACCAAGCGAGAGAGGCAACAAUAUAAGUAAGAAAGAAAGAGAUAGAUCCAAGAGUUUUCAAAAGAGGGUUUUGUGGGAAACAUGUCAGAAUAACAAACUUCUAACUCCUUUUCCCAGAGCAGCUCUGCUUCCACAUCCUACAACCUGUUAAUCCAAGAGAUGGCUAGCGCCUAAUCCUGCUCUAGCUCCAAUCUCACCGGAUAAAGGGGUUCAUCAUCAUUCUACACACAAGCACUAAUAUCAUUCCCCAAACUUCCAAAUUACCCUAACAAUAUGGAGUUUUCAACAUAAAGAGAGCAACAACAUAUAGCUCCCUACUCCAUGUUUCACAUUCUUUCCCAUCAUCUUUAAUACACAAACCAAGCAGAGUUUGCAUUUGUCAACCAUAUAAUAACAAUAAAAAGAGUUCAAAGUUAAAAAAAAAAAAAAAAGAGAGAUCAGAAUCUAAAAGCACUUGUCACCACCUGGAACCCUUGUGAAAAAAGAUUCCUACACCUCCGCCAAGUUACUUACAAGUUUGGCUCCCGAGUCCACCACACACAUCCCUUCACUGUUUCACACUUCUCUCUCUCUCCCUCUCUCUCCCCUUAUGAUCAACCCAUCACAGAUUCAGAGUUGAUCUGACCACCCCUUGCAUGCGACGCAGACUCACUAACGGCCGACGGUUUACGACCAAAGUUUAACAAAUAGUUCCUCUGGUCGUCAUUGGUAUGACGGAGGCUCGCACGUAAAAGCUCAGCGGGCAUUUCUCUCUUUAUCGCCAGCUCCAAAACAUCCGCUGCACUCCCUUGGUUCUGCCUACGGAUCGUCUCAUACUUGCUCCUGCAGUAUUUAGUAAGCAGGUUGAAGAACUCAUUAAACGAGGCUCUCCAUAGGCCAUCAUUAGAGCUCCCAUGGACGGCUCGAGGAACCACCACUACUUCAGCAGCUCUCUCGAGAAGUGAUAUCAAGACAACCGAAGCACCAUCCCCAGAAGAGCUUCCAAUAGGACGCAGAGGUGGCUGCUCUGAAGAACAAACCACAGCUGCAAGGCAAGCACUCAGCGCUCGGAGGUCCAUAGCUUGAACACAGACCGUGACUGCCUUGGCAAGAUUAGCAAUCGUCUCUGCUGCUAGAGUAUCCGAAGGCAAGCCGCCGAAGAGAAACCUCAAGUGGCGGAAUAUAGCCAUACAGACAACUCGAGCAAUCUCAGUGCCUGGAACUAGAAGCUGUAUGUACUUCGUAAGCAUUUUCCGACCCUUUGGAAGAGUUGCUAUACGCAGAAACACAACAUCAUCCUUAGCAGUCAGCCCUGACUUCUGACCGGUUUUGCUGAACGGAUCAGCAAGCUGAAGUGCCGUCGCUAGACCUUCAAGGAGGAUCUGGCGUUUUCUCUUCACCUGAGCGCCUCCGUCUUGAGGCCUUGUGGACUGGAGAGUCCUGUCAAUGUCAACUAUGUCGAUAAGAACUCCUAGAGCAUCUUCAAUUGUAACCCUAGCUGCCACAAGUGGUUCCUGCUCCAAAUGUUUCCCUGAGCCCUUUUGAUCAUUAGAACCAGGAGAAGAAGAAGAGUCAACCUCAAGCAAGGCACGUGGCCUGCGAAUAUAGGGAAGCGUGAUCUUCCCAAGAGCAUCUACAUGAACUUGUUGUUGAUGCUGUUCAGAACUAUUAUUACGGGACUUAGGUUGGUGGUGGUGGUCUUUCAACUGAGAAGGGUAGAAGAGAGUGAUUGCUCUACUAGAUCCAGAAGACUUCUUGGCAAGGCGAGCUUGGUGGUAAUAAUCAUUGACAUAAGGAUCGUUGCUGUGUGAAUUAGAGUGCUGCAUCUUGAGUAUACUCUCUAUUUCCUCUGAAGUCAUGUACUUUGAUCUAAACUGCAAUCCACUCUCGCUUUUCUGACUAGCUGCGUCUGAUGCCUGUUGAGAUAUGCCUUUGUUCUUUCGACUCCUAUGAGAAGACUUAUGCUUGUGUUGUUCCCUAACUUCACCACCCCCAAAAGAGACUUUACGUGAUGGUGAUGGAUAAGACCUGUACAGCUGAGACUGUAGCGCUGCAAGCUGAGCAUACGAUUGUCUCUGCUGGAGAGCCAUCAUAUGUUGCGACAUAAGAUCAAUUCGAGGAGGGAAUUGUUGUUGUUGCGCCAGACUAUGUAAUAAACCAGAAUGAUCUCCGUGGAGAAGACCAGGAUCAGUGACCCAAUGAGGUUGCACAACGUUACCAAGGGUAGGACCACACGAGGCAUAUCUAGCCAAAUUACCACCAUAGUGAGGCCCGUGUGAGGGUCCUGAAAGAUGAAAUCUAGAGUUUGACAGCGGGGAAGGUGGGGUGAAAUUCAUCUGAGAACCGCUGGGAAGAGAAGGAGCGCGGUGGAGGCUUCCAGGUGAAGUCUGCUGAGAUCUGCUGCCUGGCGGGGGAAAGGAGGUGAAAGUUGAUUCUGGUACAAUGAUCGGUUCACUAUUGUAGUGUUGCAACGGUGGUGGCUGCUGAGGGUAAGAGGAUGUCCUGUAUAAAGGUUGUGAAUGAGCAGAUGACUGUGGCUGCGAGGACCAUCUGUUAGCCUCUUGAUCUUGCUCGUCCAACCAGUUUGUGAGCUCUGUAUCGUGAGUCCAAUCGGUGGCAGAAGAACCUAAAGAUGAAGUACAUUCAGGUUAAGAAGAACCCUAAAGGUAUACAGUAUACAGUAGUAAGCAAGUUAAGAAUUAAACUCACUCUCUCUUGAAAAGGAACCAGAUCCUCUGUCACCAAUAACUCCAAGGUGUUUGGGUCCUGUGACAUUUCUAUUUAGCUACACAAAGAAAAUAAGUAGAUUUAGAAUCACUAACAAACAAGAGUUCAAAGCUGAAGAACAAGAACAGGUAUAACAUGGCAGUUAAAGAUAUUAAGAUCACUAAAAAAGCAGUUUUUGCAACAAAAAAGAAGUUAAAAAAACCUUUGCAAAAGUCGUGGCAAGAUCAUCCAUGUCAGAUAAUGACCCUAAACCUGCACCCUGCAAUAAUCAACAUGUAUGUAUUAGUAAAACAUCAUCACGUGGUAGCUUUCAGAAGAGAAAACACAUUACCUCUCCUUUAUUAAACAAGUGAUACUCGUCAUCAUCAGGAGAAGUAUGUCCAAGAACAGGAGCGACCACUUCGUCAUCGUCAAUGCCUCCUAAUGACAUUUCGUCAAGGUUUUGCCCAAAAAACUCAUACUGAGAUGCAUCAAAGAGCUUACUAUUUGAAUCUGCAGAUACAAAACACAGCCAGUUUCAGCAGACAAUGCCACAAACACAUGGACUUAAAGCUCUAAGACUUUCAAUCAAAGGGAUAACAACAACAAAAGCAAAACUCAAAAAAAAAAAAAAAAGAGAGAAGCUUUUUAGUAUUCAAAAAGGUUUGAUCAUUCAUGAAAUUGGAGAACAAGAAGAACAACUACACAAAAAAAAAAAAAACAAAACCCAUACAGACAUAAUCUACAGGAAAACACAAGACCAGACAGAAGACAAUUAGCAUAAAUUUCAUCCCUUUAUGUGCUUUUCUCACUCGUAAAACGAACCACAAAGCAACACGGAUCUCAGCUAACAACACAAAGAGAAGAAAGAAACAUCCUUUCGAUGAGAUAAAAAGGGAGUGACCUGAGGAAGAGCGAACAAAGUUGUACAAGUCCCUGGAAUCAGAUCUCUCCAUGAUCGGAGGAUAAAAAGAGCGAAACUUUAGAAAUUAGAGGAUGCGAGAGAAGGAAGAGAAGUCGUAUUCCUUCGCGCUAGGGUUUUCCCAGAUGGGGACGCGGAGAGAGAGAGAAUGAUCAACCCAUCACAGAUUCAGAGUUGAUCUGACCACCCCUUGCAUGCGACGCAGACUCACUAACGGCCGACGGUUUACGACCAAAGUUUAACAAAUAGUUCCUCUGGUCGUCAUUGGUAUGACGGAGGCUCGCACGUAAAAGCUCAGCGGGCAUUUCUCUCUUUAUCGCCAGCUCCAAAACAUCCGCUGCACUCCCUUGGUUCUGCCUACGGAUCGUCUCAUACUUGCUCCUGCAGUAUUUAGUAAGCAGGUUGAAGAACUCAUUAAACGAGGCUCUCCAUAGGCCAUCAUUAGAGCUCCCAUGGACGGCUCGAGGAACCACCACUACUUCAGCAGCUCUCUCGAGAAGUGAUAUCAAGACAACCGAAGCACCAUCCCCAGAAGAGCUUCCAAUAGGA
rnacentral:lncRNA from 1 species